UGCGUAUUAUUCUCCUCAUUAGUACCUUCGCUUGGUUUAAAUACUAUCUCACCGGACAAAGAUGGAAUUGAAGGCAAGAAAAAAGGUGCAUUUUCAGGUUUCUUUGGAGGCUCGAUAGGUUUGUUGCGGGCCUUAUUGUUCUAUAAAAUAUACCUAUAAAAAAAAAAUUGCAAUUACAUUGCAACAGCCUAGGGAUGUCAUGUUGACAUUAAUCAAAAAAACUGGGAGUUGGUAAAGAACGCGAUCAUGCAUAUAUUACUUUGGAUCUUUUCUUCUAUUUUUGGCCAAACUGCAGAAUGAACUUCUAAAAGCUUUCUUGCCUUCUCCUGCACUUUUGACUGGCAUCGAACUGUUUCACCAUGAAUCUGUCCAGCACAAGUUAAAAGACAUGUUAAACUACAUUAUAUUCAACAAACAUCACAGAAAAAUUUCAACUAAUAGCAAAUUUGCAGUUAAGACUUGUGUCGGUAGAUGGAGCCUCGGAACACUCUUUGAACCUGUACUUGACGAUCCCUCUUAGCAAAAUCGUGCAAAGAAUAUAAACUAGAGAGCUUGUGAAUCCAGAAAUUUACCUUCAAAAACAAUGUAAUCAGAGCCUGUAUAUACUCAAAAUUGGUUCCGCAUGAAAGCUCAUGUAUAAAGUAAUCAAGUAGCAGUUCAAUAAAAUGCAAUUCUUGUCUCUUCUCAGGCUCCUGCUCGUCAUCGUCAUCUAUUAUCUGAAGCAUCCGCAGCUCCAUAUCCAAUAUUGAAGGAGACAAGCUUUUGAUAUAAUCAGUGAAUGGUGCAACUGCAAAAGGCAAUAAAUAAGUCUUCCUAGAGUCUGUCCAAUAAGGAAAGUAGAUACACAUAAAGAGAAGGAGAAGAGCUUACAAUUCUCUUUCUCCGCGCAUGACUGAAGAAUUUGCAAGAAUUUGGACACUGGAAGAUCAUUUUUCUUACUGCUCACUUCCAAUCCAGUAUUUUGCGUAUUAUUCUCCUCAUUAGUACCUUCGCUUGGUUUAAAUACUAUCUCACCGGACAAAGAUGGAAUUGAAGGCAAGAAAAAAGGUGCAUUUUCAGGUUUCUUUGGAGGCUCGAUAGGUUUGUUGCGGGCCUUUAUUAUGUCAAGGUUGAUCAAGCUCUGCCAUUGACUCUUAGGCAAAAGUGAAAGAGUGACUAGAUCUGGAAUUUGAGGGAUUGAAUUUAGAAACUGAGAAGUGUCAGAGGACUCCAAUGGCUUAAUUAUAGUUCUGGUAUCGCUGUUUUCACCGUCUUUUUCAGAAGAAGUGGAUGGCAUCUUAACGUUGACUAUUUCUUUUCCACUUCCAUAUGAUGCAAAGCUGGCAGCUCCUGAGAACAUCGCUUGAUUGACCCACAGAUAGACACCAUUUUGAUCAACAUGUGACGUGGCCAAGAUAUCCAUAUUAGGCGAUAAAGAUAAUCCAGUGAUAGACAGAUCAACUUGUAUUGCAUCUAUCUGUCUAGCUAAAAUUACAUCCCAAAUUCUGAGGGUCCCAUCCAUACUGGAUGUCAAAAGCCAUUUCCCAUCCUCACUAAAGCACAUAUCAGUAAUACGGUCAGUAUGGCCCUCAAAUUUACGAACCAACCUCUGUGCAAUAACAUCAAAUAGACGGAUAACUAAAUCAUCUGCUACAGUCGCCAAAAGACCAUUAGAACGGUGGAACACAAUCUUGACUAAGGAACACCCAACCUCCCAUUUAUACUUUAACUGGCGUCCUUUGAAGUCCCAAACUUUUACAUCGCCAUGGUAUCCAGCACUUAUCAUGAUGUUAUUUGUCGCAUCACAAGCUAUGCCAAUCACUUCCCCAUCAUGAGCAGCACUUUCACCUUCCAACACAUCAACAUAAUUGCCACGGCUGAUUCCUGACUGAAGAUUAAAUCGCUCAAUCCAACCGCCGGCAGUUCCUAGUACAGCAAAAUUGCCACAGGCACUAAUAGCACAAGCCUUGACUGGAGUUGGAUUUUCAGGGCAUGGGGUUAAGAUAUGCUCGCCAAGAACAAAAUUUUGCAGCCUCCAUACAUAAGCACGCGGGGUGUCCAUGUGACAGGUAACCACAUUACACCAGUCGCGUUCCCUAAUUUCAGCAACAUCGAAUGCAAUAACAGGCUUCAAUUUUAUCUCCUCCUCUUUCAACUUCAGUUUCCUCGCUCUUUUAGAAACAUGUCGUUGGGAAAGUUCUCUACUUUGUUGAUCUUGAACAACAGAAAAAAGACGAAACGCUCGAUCUUGACCAGCGGAUAAGAUGUGACGCCCAUUUGCAUAGAACUUGAUACAUAGAGGAGGAGCACUAUGACCACUUCUAAACCGUAGUAAACGAGGAUCCCCAUCACUUCUAUCGAAGAUCCACAUUUUUAUUGAAUUGUCUGCCGAUGAACUCAUGAGGACAGGCUCAUUAGCAAAGAACUGAAGUGAAACUAUGGAGGAGUCAUGGGCUUCCUUGAUGACAGACUGCAGCCUUCUUUUCUCAAGAUUCCAUAUGCUUAUAACACCAGAUGAACCUCCAGAAGCAAGAAGAGGCUGCCCAUCAGUGCUGAAUGACAAGGCAUUAACAGCGCCUCUUGUAGAGUGACUAAAUGUAGCUACCUCUUCAUCAUAGCGAAGGUUAUGGACAUGAAUCUUCCCAUCCCCACAUCCGGCAGCAAUAACAUCUAGUGCUGGAGAUGAAACACAACAAGUAAUAGAAGAUCCCCAUCCCUUGAACUCAUAAAUUUUCUCCUUUGUGCUUAUAUUCCAUAGUUGCAAAGAACCUUCUUGACUUCCUAAAAUAACCUGUUUGAUUAAUCUGUCAAGUGAAACAUAGGAAAUCAAAGGAACUACUAAAUUAUUACCUUUUUCCUCAAUUAAGAGGCGUGUUUUCUGGGUUGGGGGGGUUACUAUUGUCACCAACUCAUGCUUUAGUUAUUGUGUUACUCAAAGUUAAAAAUAGAAAAUCCAUACCUUAUUUAAAUAAGUAUCUGGAUGCAUUAUGCAGCUAGGGGAGAAUUUGUCCUCAAGCUUUAUGUGUCCGAUAGGAGCAGGAUUUUUGUCUAUACCUUUAAAUUGCCAUAUGAAGAUAUUGCCUUCAACAUCAACACUUAGGAUGUGUUCACCAAAAAGAAGCAACUGGUUCACCUUAGCACUAUGGCCACUCCAUGUAGCCACCUGACCAAACAAAAAACAUUUUCACCAGAAAACAAAAAAAUGCUCAUUAAUUACACACUGAAACUCGAAGAUGAGCCCAAAAGAAAAAUCUUAACCAAAAUACUUAAAAGGAAAAAAGGAGAGGAAAAAAAAAAGUUGUUAAUAAUAUAUCAAGUAGAAAGAAAGACACAGUAACAGGUAUUAUAAGGCCAACCCUUGCACCAUUUGAAACAAAAUCUGAUCUUCAUCCAAGCAAAAUGAGGGCAAAAGGUAAGGAAGAACAGAGAUGAGGAUUAAUCAAGUAGAGAUCCCCUGGCACAGGUUCUUCAGUAGAAUUAUCCUCCUACUUUAGAAACAUUCCGAUCAUUGAUAAAUUUUAGGAAGUUAAAACUCAUCUGCGGGGUAGGGGUAGACCGAAGAUAUACUGGACAGAAGUAAUUAGAUAUGACAUGGAGCAAUUACGGCUCACUGAGGACAUGACCCUUGAUAGGUAGGUUUGGAGGACGAGUAUUAGGGUAGAGGGCUAAGGGAUGUGGUUAAGUCAUAGGCUGGAGUUAGGAGAGUUUCGUGUAGCUUGGUUGGUAGGGCAAGGGUUGGGGGGAGGGUGUGUCUUUUGUUGGUUCAUGUACUUAUUUGAGGUUGUUGUAUCGUUGUUAUUUUAUCAUGUUGUAUGCUUGCGAUAUUUGAACACGGUCUCGGUCCUUUUCUUGAGCCCGGGGUCUAUCGAAAUCAAUCUCUCUACUUCUUCGGAUGUAGUGGUAUGGACUGCGUACAUUCUACCCUCCCCAGACCCCACUAUGUGGGAAUAUACUGUGUUUGUUGUUGUUGUAAAAUUCAUCCGCACUUAAAAGGAAAGCUUUCCAGAGAUCAUGAGUUUUUGUGAAUGAAAAAUGACAAGAGUAACAACAUUAAUGGCCCCAACACAAGGCCAAGAAUCUACAAAGCAUAUUAGGAAAUUCGAAGGCGUUCUUCAAAAUGAUACAAGAGUGAUGUGAUCAAUCAUCACUAGAUUCUUUUUCCUCUUCAGGGAAGUUCGUUGGAGCAGGGAUGCCUCAAUGGUUGAUUUUUUUUUUAUUAUUUUUUUUUGCGGGGAGGGGGUGGGGGGUNNNNNNNNNNNNNNNNNNNNNNNNNNNNNNNNNNNNNNNNNNNNNNNNNNNNNNNNNNNNNNNNNNNNNNNNNNNNNNNNNNNNNNNNNNNNNNNNNNNNNNNNNNNNNNNNNNNNNNNNNNNNNNNNNAAGUGCAGGGAAAAAAGAUUUAAGAAUGAAAUUAAAUAACUCCAUAUAUAAUUAGAUACUACUUUUUCCACCACAAUAUGUUGAACUUAAAUAAGUCUGAUAUUUGGCAAAAGUUCUGAUUCAUGUUUGACACUUGUAUUUAGUAUGGACAUACAUGAAGAUUCAUAGAUUACUAUAUUUUUGGAAACUAGUAACCACUAACUUGCUUUGAAAAGAUAAAUCAAUUGAAGUUGAAAUGAAAAUUGAUGCAGGUAGAUUGGAUAGGAUAUAGAGAAUCCAUAUAGCCAAAACAACAACUCUUGGAUUGAGGUAUAGUUGAAUUUUAGUUGACAAUAAUCUGAACACGGCAGUAUAGCAAACAAGAACAGGCCACAAUCUAGCAUCAAAACUAAUACUAAAAGUAAAAUUAAACUGAUCACUGUUUCUAGAAGAGUAGAGCCCAUUGUUUCUCUUCUUUUUUUUUGUCCAGCAGCACAUUGUUUCUCUGAUUUGACUGAAAUAAUCUUCUUACAUUAUGCCUUUUUCUGUAUAUUAGGCAACUGAGCUUCCCCUAACCCUAUAAAUGCAAAACACUGUGAUGAGUUGGCUACCAGCAGGAACAGCCCCUCACGUCUCCUUCUGAAGAUAAUUUUCUCUUAAAACUUGUAUCUAUUUUUAUAUAUCCCUCUUAUAAAUCCCUUUUCACCUUGAAAAUUGAACUCCAUAAAGAAAACUUGAAAUGAAGAUUCCAGUUCCAACAUCACUGACAUUAAUUCUCUCAUCCUAUAGUUAUUGAUUAAUUACAGUUUGUGGGAUGCGAAUAAAGACCUGGAUUCUAAGCAUCAUUUCUUUUUAUAUAUUAAUUAGAAGGUAAAACUAUUGAAUAGAAAAAUGGAACUUUCUUAAAUAACUAUAGGAUGAAGCUUUCACGGAAACCCAAAAAGGGUAUCAUGAAAGGUUAAAAGAGACUCGAAGUGUUUUGUUUCUAGGAACUUAAGUAACCCAGAACCAGAUUUUAUCUGAAGAGUAUCAGUUCCCCUGACGGUGAUCUCUUCAAGGAUGUGUACAUUAAAUUAGGAAUAUUUUUGCAGCAAAGCCAGAGUAUCGCAGAAAACUGAAAAGAAACACAAUGAGCUCCAUCUGUUCUGAAGUCCAGUAAUGUUGGUCACGCAGACUAUGAACGACAACUAAAUCAUACCAAUUUGGUAUGCAUUCGAUAUCUAUCGAACUUUCGUCUUCUUAUUUCUCAGCUUGGAACCAUUCAUUUACAACAGAAGUAGCUUGAUAAAUUUGGGCACAGAAUUGGAUGAGUUCACUGAGCAUAACAAUGGUUAGUCUGGUAUUCAAACUGAAAGGCUGAGAGACUACAAUAGAUAUUCUCAUAGUCCAACUCAUUGGUACACAUUGUGCAGUAUAGAGUAUAUUCUAGUUAUGCUCAGCUAAAAAAAGGCAGUUCGAUGCACAAAGCACCACGCGUUGGUAGAGCCUGGGGAAGUACAUUAGUGGCUGCUUCCACGGCUUGAACCCGUGACCUACUGGUCACACAAAGACAACAUUACCUCUGCUCCAAGGUUUCAUUAACUAUAUUUCAAGAACCCAUGUGUACAAUGUUAUGUCAUCUGCCUUCGUCCUCUACUAUUCCUACUUGGCUUCUUAGGAUAAUAAUAUAUUUAACUGUUCAACACUCCCUUUAACAACUAAAAACCAACUAAUUUCUUCAAAUCACUAUGUCCGAGUACUUUUCAGCCUACAACUACUGAAGAUAUUCAAGAUUACAUUAAUACAUUUCAGUCUAAGAUCACCCACAGGAUGUAAGAACGAGAUAAAGUCUAUAGGAGUAAUUUCAGAUAUAGGACUCCUAAUUUAGAGUUAACAAGUUAAAUAAGGGUAUGAAUAUCACAGAUCCUUCAACAUACACCAAAAGAAGCUUAGUAAAACUUGAACAACAGGUAUACAUAACCAUAUCCAGGUCCAUGUAAUACAGGCUCCUUCCCUUCGAUAUUCCCCUUUCUCUGUGUAACUUAAGAGAUCUAACUAGUGCAUAAACCAAUUAGCAUGAAAUCUUAUUCUAUUAACAACAACCAACACCUCACAUAACCUGCACCCAGCAGCAACUACAACAACAUAAACAGUGCAGUCUCACAAAAUGUGGUCUGGAGAGGGUAGUGGCAAAAGUCAUAAAUGAAAUAGAACUCUCUGUCUCAUUCCCCGCUAACCGUGAACAGAGUGAAAGGCUGGCCAAGAGUUUUUUAUAAGGGGUCUUUUUUCUAAAAUAUUCCCCGAGCUCACCUAUAUCCUAUUUCUCUUCUAAGGGUGAUCCUAUUCCUCAACUCACAAUAAGUAAGGUAGGGACAACUCAAACAGACCUCAGCUCUACCUCAGAUGUAGAGAGGUUAUUUCCGAUAGACCUACUGCUGAUAACCUGCACCUAGCAGCAAAAAGAUAGGUUCUUUCUCACUUUCAACUACCCCCAUCACCCCCACACACAAAAAACCCCAAACGCAAAAACCCCAUAAUUUCUAAGUUCUGUUUUUUUUAAUAACCAUGGUGUCCAGGCAAGCUUUCGCACACCUCGACUAAAUCCGCGGCUACCUGCCACCUCCCACCAGCAACAGUUUAUCCUUAUUUAUCUAUUAGUUUUCAGUUCUUAUCUUCAGCGCGGGGUAGAGCAGUUUGGUAGCUCGCAAGGCUCAUAACCUUGAGGUCACGGGUUCAAAUCCUGUCUCCGCAACAUCUUGUUUUUCCAAACUAUUUUAGGGUUGACUCUGGUAACUAGUAAUUAAUUCCCGCCUUUCGCUUUUUGGGGGUGGAAGGCAAAAGAAAACGUAGGGGAUAUCAGGUAACUCUGUCUAACAAGGGUCGGACAAAUGGGAAGAAUCAUCUAGUGUUGUUUGUCCAUAAUUUCGAAGUUGUAACUGAAUCAGAAGUUCAAAUUUAACAAAUUCCAAGAAUUAAACUGCUUAAAAAUACUGAAACUAUAAAAAAUAGCUUACCAACAAGAACCAAACUGAGCUUAGCACACUGCACAUUCAAAAAGAAAUCCAAAAAUUAAUUAAUUAAUUCUUCACAAAAUCAAAAAACUUGAGAAUAGUGAAGGAGAGGGCAAGAGCUACAUUGUAAAUUUGGAAAGCUUUGCCAACAGCGACAGUGACGAAGGUUUCAGUACCAAGUCUCUGUACAGAGAAAGGAACAUUGGUCGUAAUGUAACCAAUUGCUCUAAAUGGCUCGAAUAUCCCCAUUUUCUUUGCUCCACAAGAAAAUUGAAGAGCUUUGUAAAGAUUUAGGCUACUACUAUGCACAAGGGUUUAACAAGUGUAAGCUUUAAACCCUAAUUUGUUGCACACCCUCGACUGUGUGUAUUUGUGUGUUUCUCUUUUCGUAUUAUUUUUUGUUUUAUGUUUUACUCCGCUCGGUCCAACUUUACUUACCCACUUUUGAACUUAAAACGCAUCUCACAAACAAUAAAUAAUAGAACUAAUUUUACUACAUUAUCGUUUAAACAUAAUAAAAUAAAGAAUCGUUUGAUAGACAGGCCGGCUUCAAGGUGAAGUCAUCGAAGCAAGCGCUUUAGGUUUUUAAUUUUUGGAGACCUUAUUUUUUUAAAGCAUUAUAGGUUUGUAUUUUUUUUUAGAUUUUUUCUUUAGAAAAUAUCAAAUAUUUCUUAAUAUUUUUGUCACCAUAUUUUAAUUUCUCUUAAGUUCAAAUAAAAACAUCACUUUAGAAAUUCAAGAUUAAAGUUGACAAUCAACAUUAAAAAAUAUCUUUUAAUACUCUCAAAUCUAAAAAAAAAGUCUAAUAAAUAGAGGUAACUCAAAAAAUCAUAUCUUCUAUUUAUUAUUUUGAUUAAUGGGGCGAAAAGAAUCAAAGCAACAAUUACAAUUGAAUCAAAGAAGUUGAAAGAUAAGAUGUAUUUCGGUCAAAUAAAAAGAUUUUACUAUUUUAUGAGUGCAUUUUUUUUCUUAAUCUUAUGUAAUUGUCUUAGCUGAAAAAAGUUUUUUUUAAAAUAAAAUUUUAAAAAUAUUACUUAAGCUUAAAAAAUAAAUAUUUCAAGAGUUAUCAAAUGAAUUAAGCAUAGUAUUAAUUGAAAAGGAAUUUUUUCAGAUAAAUCAAUUACAAAACAAUUUUAUUUAUAAUUUUACACCUCAAAAAGCUAUAAAUAUAGAUUUGUAAAAAAAAUAUUCAAAACCUCAUUUUAAAAUUUCGCUUUAGGCCACCAAUUAUGUUGAGUCGCCCCUGUUGAUAGAAUACAUUAAAAAAUUAAUACAUACAUUAACUUUAUGUAUUAUUAAUAUCUUAUUUGAUACACAUUUUCAACCUACACUCUAUUGUGUAUUAUGUUAUUCAUAUUACAUUCUUGAUAUUAGCAACGAAAAGGACUUUAAUGCAUGCAUUAGCAAGAUAAAGACGCAAUAGUCCCUCAAAAACUUUUUCACAUUAUUUUCAUUAUAUUUGUGGAGGAUAUUUUUAUAAAUAAUUUUUUAUUAAAAAUAUGCAAUGCAAGUUAUUUUUAACAUGUCAAAUCAAACACAACAUAAAAAAUAAUUUUGACAUAAUUAAUGCAAACAUAAAUAAUAUAUCAUAAUUUGCACUAUUCUUCUACACCCUACAAAAUGAUUCUUAAUGUCUUGAAAAAUGCAUUAUGUACCGAAUAUAAUAUUUACUAAUAAAGAUAAAAAAUACACAAAUAAAUAAAUUAAGCACUAAUUUUUUGAAUUAGAUAUCUAUUUUAGUAACAUGGAUAAAUAAAAAUGGAUAAUGUAUUUAUGUUUUAAUAAAUGUAUAUUUUUUUAUGUUUAUUUGUUGAAAAGUUACUACUUUCGUUCAAUAAUACUUGUCUAUUAUUGUUUUAGCACAAAAAUUUAAAUAAUAUGAAUAAUUUUAUCAUAUUACUCUUUGAAUACAAUUAAUUCAGUAUUUUAAAAAAUAUACUAAAUAAUGACUAUACUUUAACCGUCGAUAAAAUAAAUAAAAAUAAAUAAAUUAUUUAUUAAUUUUUUAAAUUAAAAAAAUAUUACUAUAUAUAUUGUAGGAACCCCUACCUUGAACCCUUGGGGGAGGGUUGAGGGGGGCUUGCUUGAUUGUUUUUUUUUUGGUUAAAUAUGAUGUUUCAUAAGUAAUUUUUCCUUUCUUUUUUUUGUAUAGUUUUUUUUUUUUUUUUUUGGUUCUCACCCAUUGUUCAAUAUCCAUAUUGAAACUUUGAUUAAUUCAAUAUCCAUAUUGAAACUUUGACUAAUUCAAAUUGUGCAUUGUAUGGCCCAUUCUGGGGGUGACGCUCCCAACGAGAUUUUCUCCAUACCCAGGGCUCGAACCUGAGACCUCUGGUUAAGGGUGGAGAAGUCCCACCACUACACCACAGUCCAUGUUGGUGUAAAAUCGUUUAGAAUCUUAAACUUUGCUGUAAAAAUCAAACACCCCCUCAACUUUGAACAAUAAUCAUUUUCCUUCCUUUUUCCUAUUUGAUAUUUUUAAAUACGUAUUUUACCCUUAUAUUUAUAUCAACAUUUGUAUCUUUUUAAGAAAAAAAAAUUAUAAAAAUAGUUUUUUAUUUUUUAAUCUAUAUAACAUAUUUUAUAUAAAAGUUAAAAAAUAUUUUUAUCAAACCCACAUUUUAACUUUAUUAGUAAAUUCUUUUAUAAUUAAUUACAAAAUCUAAAGGUACUUUUUACAUUCAAAUUUUUUAUAUUAUCUAUAUUUAUAAUCUAUAUCUAUAAUAUUUUAAAAGUGUGAAGACCCUUAAAAAAGUGGUUAGAAUUUUUGUCCUUCAUUAAAAUACUCUGCCAUAGACAAAAUCGUCUUUUCACCUUUUUCCACCAAUUAUUAUUUAAUUAAAUUAAACACUCCUAAAAUAUAUAGCAAUAACAAUUCUAUGGUAAAAAAUAUUAGGAGAAUUAAAAUAUUUGAAUAUAUAUGAAAAGUCUAAUUAGCUAAGGAGAAUUAAUGCUACUUUAUAAAAACCCUAAAUUAAAAAUUAUGUCAAUUAAAGCAAAAAAAAAAAGUCCAUAAAAGUAUUCUUGAAUAGGAAUGCAAUGAUAUUGAAGAAGCUAUAUUUAUAUACAUAAUAAAAUAAGGAACAUAUUCAUAUAUACGACAAUAAUACUCAUGUUUUUAAAAUUCUUUUGAACAUUGCUAUUUUUAUUUAUUUUGUAAAAUAAAGUUUAUCCCAAAUAAAUUGCCUCCCUAAUUAAAUUGGAAAAAGAUUUGUAUAUGAUAUUAUAUAAAAGGCGGUGAAAAGUCCCAUAAUAAUUUCAAUUAAGAAAAGAAAUUCAACAAUGAGAAAAGUUUUUAUCAAAGUUAUUAGAUGUUCUUUAAUAAAUAUAAAUGGUAUAAGUCAUUAUUGCUUGAUUCUUUAAUAUUUUUGUGUGGAUGAAGAAAAAUUCAUGUGGAGAACGUGAUUGAGAUUUUGUGUCCAUUACAAGCGAGUUUGUAUUGAAUUUUAUUUCUAAUGCAUAAUAAUACUAUUUAUAUUGUUAAAGUUAAAUUAUUAGACGUUCUUCAACUAAUAUUCUUCUACGCUUUUAUUUAUAUGCAUUGUCUUUUUUUUUUGUCAGUUGGUGCUAAGAUUUGAUGUAUUUCUAAUGUCAUGAUUUGCUUGAUACUGGUGGUAUUGGUUUGAUACCUCAAUAUUGUCAUAUUAUUUUGUUGUAUUCUACUAUGUUACCUUCUACUGUUUUAGUUGUUAUUGUUUCUUUAUUGUAUUUCAGUAAUUACUUUUUUUAACGACUUUGGACUGUUUUUUCUUGGGUCGAAGUCCUUCAACAAGCUGAAGUAUGAAAACUUAACAAAUUGAUGAGUGUUUUCAUAUUGUGAGUAGUUGAGAGUAUUUGAAAUUAUAAAACUACCGAAUAUAUUGUUUUAUUGUAGUUUCUAUUAUAUUAUCAUCUAUUAUUUUAUUAUAAUCUAUUGUUUAUUGUACUUCUCUAAUUACUUCUUUAUUGAAUUACUUUGGACUGUUUUUUCUUGAGCUGAAGUCCUUCAUCAAGUUGAAGUGUGAAUACACUAUUAAUUGAUGAGUGUUUUCAUAUUGCGAGUAGUUGGGGGUAUCUGAAAUUUUAUAGAUGCCAGUAGAAUUCAUCAUUCACUUUUUUGAAUAUGCAAUUUAUUAUUUAUCUUCGAAUUUUGAGUUCUACUUAUUGAGUUUGCUUUAUUGUUUUUCCUUUUCCAGUUUAGUUUGUAUUUGAUUGACAUGUCAUGAAAUUUAUUUUGUGAAGUUUCAAUCUUGCAGAUUCUUGAAUAGACAUAUCUUGUUUAUGUUUUAGUACUCAUUAGAUGCUUAUUUUCAUAAAAUUUUAAUGGCUUUAACAAAUUUAUAAAUACAAUAUAAAUUAUACAUAAUAACAUUUUAUAUUAAUCAUAUAUUCAUUGAACACAUACAUGCGCAAAGCGAGUACAUCUAAACUAGUAUGUAUUAAGUAUGUAUGUGAGUAUGUAAUAUGUAUAUAAAUGCAUACUUUGAUUUUCUCUUAUUCUUUAAUGUCUAUAUAGAUAAACAAGUUUUGGUUGUUAAUAUGAAUUAUUUUCUAAAUUAUAAUUUAAAAUUCAUCAACAACAAUCAUUUGAUUUGUAACAAAUAUACAUCUACAACAUCAUAUCUAGUGAAAAUUUUUAAGUGAGGUCUGAGGAGGGUAGAGGUACACAAACCUUACCACUAUCUCGGUGAGGUAGAGAGAUUGUUUUCGAAAGACCAUCAACUAUUAAUUAUUUUGUAUACCUAUAUUGAAAUAUAUUUAUAAAAUUAUAAUACCUAUUAUUUUCAAGUAUAAAUAUAUAUUAGAGUUUUGAUUUUUAAUAAAAUUAAUUUUUACUAUUGCUCAUUUAUAAUAUUAUAGUUUGUCAUUAAAUUAUAUACUCAAUUAAUAUUUCACACUUUUAUUUUUUUAUCUUAAUAAUAAUUUUUAACCUUUAUACAAAAUAUGUUGUAUAGAUUAAAAAAUAAAAAAUAUUUUCAUAAAAAGUUCUUUUUCAAAUAAAAAAAGAUACAAAUGUUGAUAUAAAUAUAAGGGUUAAAUAGGUAUUUAAAAAAAAUCAAAUAGAAAAAAGGAGGGAGAAUGAUUAUUGUUCAAUGUUGAGGGGUUUUUGAUUUUUAUAGCAAAGUUCGGGGGUGUAAACAAUUUUAACUCUAAAAAUAUUUAAAGGUGUAUUUGGAACAAUGAAGUAAUAUUUUGUGAUAAAUGUAUUUUCUCAAAUUUUUUGACUGGAAAAUUUAUUUUCUCAUAAUUGAUUGGUGAGUUUGAAAGUAUUUUUUUAAAAAUAUAUACUAUAUACAAUUAUAAUACCAAUAAAUGUGAGAAUGUUUUGAUAAAAUCCUUUAGUAAUAAGAUAUUAAUGAUGUUUAAAUUUUAAUUAUAAAUAUCUAAAUAAUUCAUAUGUUUUUAAGGCCUAAAUAUAUAUUUACAUGAGGAUUAUUGACAUCAAUAUGACUAUUGAAAAAUAUUUGGGAGUAGUGAAUGAAUCCAGAAAAACAAAAAUAUAUUAAAUUGAUGUUGAUUAUGCAAGAUUUAGUUAUUCAUAUAUUAAUUACUUUAUCUUUUAUUCUGCAUAAAUAGUACAUAAGUUUUCUCAGAACUUAUACAUAUAUUAGUUAUACGCAUUUUUAAAUUGCAAAUCAAACAUCGUAUUAAUUUUAUACAUGAAUAAUUUACAUUCCAACCAGUGAGAUUUAAUAUCCGCAUAACUCACCUCCAAAUCAGCUACCAAACGCCCCAUUACAGAUAAAAUAAUAUUUUAAAACCUUAUGUGUGAAAAAAUAAAAAGUCUCGUAAAAGAAAAAAGAGAAAAUUUCUUAAAUAACAAACACGAGUCCAUAAUUAAUUUUUUUCGUAGCAACAUGUUGUUAAUUGUAUCCCGUAGCCACUCACAUCUUUCUUUUAUAUAUGAAAAAAUUACUUAAAACAUCACCUUAACUUUCCAUUAUUACUUAAAACCCAUCCCACUAAACUAAAUACAAAAAUCUUUUCUAACUCAUAAAAGUAGCUUAUUUAAAGAUACAUCACAAUUCACCCCUAUUACUUCACCUAUUGCGCCGCAAAUCUCACCAAAAAUUUAGGUAAUGUAUCCGGCUAUUUUCUAAGUAAAACUUUCGAUUGUUUUUAUUACAAUUUCUAUAAAUUAAUUUUCGUCCAUCUGUUAGACUAUUAUGCAUCAAAAGAUAUUUUACUCUUCAGCAAUGUAUCAUAUAAGCUAAUUGUUGUUUUAUAACUUAAUGUAAAUUAUAUAAUGUACCAGAUAUUUUCAAAAAUAAGUCAGGUAUAAUGCAAACUUAAUCACAGUGAUGUAUCUCAACCAAAAUAAUGUAAUGUAUCAGAAACUUAAAUUAAUAAUACAAUAGUAGAUAUAAUAUUAUUGUAUUUGCAUAUAAAGUUAUGUAUCAUAAGAUAUUUAGCUUUUAAUAUAAUGCAUCAGAUAAUUUUUACACAUAUAAAAUAUUAAGCACAUUAAAUAUAAUAAUGUAUUAGUAACCACAAAUAAGUGUAAUGUGUCAUGAAUUGUAGUGUAUCAUGAACUCAAUGUUAUUAAAUGAGAUAUUUGUUAUCAUAAUACAAUAUACAUAAGUUUUUACAUAAUAGGAAAACUUAUGAUAUUUGUUACCAUAAGUUAUUAUAUGACGUAUAUUAUGUAAUUUAAACAACAAUUUCUUUAAUUAAGCGCAUUAAUUGCUCAACUGUAAGUUUAAUUAUCGUUUCUUUCCAUUUUUAACCACAAUUAAACAUUCAUUAAUGUAUCAUAAACUAAUGAAUCAUGACGUUAACUAAUGUAUCAUAUCUGAAAUUUUAUGUAAUUAUUAUAAAAGUAGGGAGAGAGAAUAAUUAGGUAGUAAAGUAUUGGGAUUUAUGUUGUUUAUCCUUUAUAUAUACUCCUAUUCUUCAUGUUUUCUAUCUUUUCUCUCUAGCCUCUUUUUCUUUCAUAUAUAUUUUUUUUCUUGUAUUUUAUAUUUUAUAUUUUCAUAUUUCUCCCCAUCUCUCUCCCUUGCUCGUUUUUUUUUUCUUUUUCUUAUUUAUAUUUUGAAUUUUAUAUUUUCAUCUCUCUUUCUCUCUCUUGUUUUAUUUGUCUUUUAUAUUUUUUUUUUGUAUCAACUAAUGUAUUUUGUGUGAAUUUAUCAUUUUUAUUUAGAUGGUCCAAUCAUGAAUAUGUACCAUUUAUCAAUUAUAUUUGUAUAUAAACAAGUAUAUGAAUUACUUAUAUUUGUUUGUAAUGAAUUAUUUAAACAAACAUGUAAUGUAUUAUUUAAUACAAAUAUAUCGUUUCGAUUUGUAUGUCAAAUUUAUUAAUUGUUUUGUAUAUAAUCAUGUAUUAUUUGUAUAGUUAGAAUUGUAUAAACAUUUAUUUUCUGAUACAAAUAUAUUCUUUAAAUUUGUAUAGUUCAAUUGUCUUAAUAAACACAAUUCGUAUCAGUGAAUACAAAGACAAGUAUUUAUAGAAAGAAAACAAUUCUUUUUCAAUUAUUUAAAAAUAUAAAUAACGCAAUUAGUCAACUAUAAAUAUAAGUACAAAUAUAAAAGAAAUACAAAUAAUGCAGUCGACUACAAAUACAAACAUUUCAAGAGUUCGUUGAUAUGCAAAAUACAAAUAUUAGCCAUGAAAAUUUAGGUGGCACAAUAUUCAAUGAGAUUUGACCAUAGAGAGUUAGGACUUUUUACGUGAUUGGACAAAACCCAAAUGGAUAAUUGAAUAAAAUCUCAAAAAUGGAGGAGUAUGAGGCGACGUUAUGAUUUGGGAUACUCCUCGUAGGUAAUUCUUAGAUAAAGGAAUUGAGAGAUAUUGAAGAGUACCCAGGAUAUAAAGAAAAUGAACAAAAAGAGUAGGAGAAAAGUAAUCGAAAAAUAAGAAGAAAAUAGACAUAUAAGGUAAUUAAUGAAAAUGUUGUGCGGUAUAAUUAAAAUGUAAUUAAUAAAAUCUCUCUCUCUCUCUCUCUCUAUAUAUAUAUUAUAAAACAAAGGACGAAGCACUAGAAGAAGCCAUGUGGCAAAAUGCUGAGAAUCCAUGUGGCAGUUUUUAGGACAAUUUUAAAAGUAUUGUAAUAAGAUCUUUAUAAUUAGUUGAAUUUUAAAAUAUAAUAAAAUCUUUAUUAUAUAUUUGAAUUUGAAAAUAAUAAUACUUUUAAAUAAAAAUAAUAAAAAAUUUAUCAGCUUAAACCUAGCAACCAUAGUUGAAUAGUCUUAAAUAAACUCUAACUAUUUCAUAAUAAUAAUAAUAAUAAUAAUAAUAAUAAUAAUAAUAAUAAUAAUAAUAAUAAUAAUAAUAAUAAUAAUAAUAAUAAUAAUAAUAAUAAUAAUAAUAAUAAUAAUAAUAAUAAUAAUAAUAAAACUCAUAAUAUUACGCUUAGGGUGAUAUAUUUAUCAAAAAAUAUUUUAAAAAAUAUAAUAGUAAUAAUAGUAAUAACAAUAAAUAAUAAUAAUAAUUAUAGUAAUAAUAGUAGAAGACACGGAGCACUAAUUUUUUAAGUUAGAAAAAAAGUAUGUUGCGGUUAGCAGUAGUAGUUUUAAUAAUAAUAAUAAUAAUAAUAAUAAUAAUAAUAAUAAUAAUAAUAAUAAUAAUAAUAAUAAUAAUAAUAAUAAUAAUAAUAAUAAUAAUAAUAAUAAUAAUAAUAAUAAUAAUAAUAAUAAUAAUAAUUUAUUGAAGAGAAAAUCUUAUAUUAUUAUUUUUUAAAAAAUAUUUGAAUGUGAAAAUAAUAUGUUUUUAGAUUUAAAAAAUAACAUAUUUUCAUUAGCUUAAAACUAGGAAAUCAUGAGUGGAGAGUAGUAAAUACAUAAAUUUAAACUUUUUAAAUGCUAUAAAAUAUAUUUAUAUAUUAAAUAUAAAAUAAUAAUUUUUAAAAUUAUCAUUAUUAUCUCAUUAACUUAAGAUAUUUAUCUCAAUUCAAAUAUAUCGAUAAGAUAACUAUAUAUUACAUUUGAAAAAGGAAGGAUAAGAAAGCCUAAUAAACUAGAUAACUAUGAUAGUGUUUGAAUUUAAACAAAAUUUGAAUUGGAAUGAAAUUCCAGAUUCUUAGGUUCUCUUAUAUAUAAUCCCAUAUAUAUAUCAUUAGCUUUAUUUGGAAUGAAUUUAUUUACUGCAUUUUUUAAUUCUUCAUAUUUUAAAAACUAUUUUUGAUUGAAAGAAUAUGUCAUUUUUCAUCUUUAUUUUCCUCCAUUAAUAUUCAAGGUACAUCAAUUUAAUCAAUCUGUUUUUCUUAAAUUUAUAAAAUUCAAUCUUUUGUUGUUUUUGAACAAUAUAUAUACAUGCAUUACAUGCUUUAUUAGGUACUAAACUAUCUGAAAAUUACAAUAUGUGAAUGUUCAUGGUGCCAUGACAAAUAAUAUUUUGUAUAAUAAUUGUAUAUCGUACUUUUCAUCUAUUUUUACUUUUUAGAUCCAUGAAUCUUGAUCAUUUCAGGUUACAAAACAAAUAUGUUUUUGAUUCUACAACAGCUAAUUUUUUUUCGAUUUGAUAAAUAUUAUUUUUACAAAAGUACUAUCAUUUAUAUAUAGAUUUUUUAUUUACCAAAAAAAAAUUCAAGAUUUUGUGCACCAUCAUUCUUAUCUUUUAUCACUGAGUUUUUAAUGAUUUUAUGGAUGUGUUCAUUAUGAAGAAAUAUAAUUUUUAGGAAAAAUAUUUUUUUAAGAAAAUAAAUUAUUUCUUACUUAUAUUUUUUGUUCGCGACGCAAAUAAAAAUAUUUUGUAAAAGCAUAUAUAUACUCUAAUACUAAACAAUAAAAAUGAAUAGUGGCAAAAAGAUGAAUAUAGUCAGAGUGAAUUAGAAAAGGUGGGGAUAAUGUAAGGGGGUGGUCUAGGUGGGUGGAGGGUAGGGGGUGGUGAAUUCAGGUUUAGUUGAGGUGGAUAGGAAAAAAGAUUCUUAAAAAUAUAAAUUAAAGAGUUUAAAAUUUUUUUGGGUUAGAAAAAAGAAAUCUAAAAAUAAAAUAAUUUAUUUUUUUAGGGGGGAGGGGUGCUAAGAAAAAAGUUUCUUUUUUAAAAUUAAAAUAAAUAAUUUUUAGCUGUUGAGGGGAGUCAGGAGUGUGAACUGGGGGUAGGGGGUUGGGUAGGGUAAGAAAAAAAAUUUAAAAGUUAUAAAAUAUAAAAUAAAAAUUGGGGGUGAGGAGAUGAAUGAUUUUGAGAGUAGUAUGAGAGAUUUUAACUAAAUUUAUUUAAAAGAUAUAAGAAUACAAAUAAAUAAAAUACUUAGAAAUAUUAGUGAUAAAAUCAAACAAUGAAAAAAAUUAUGAGCAAUUAAACUUUAUUUGAAAAUUGAAAAAGGUAUUAAAUUGUAUGUGCUUUGUUUAUUGAACCAAGAGUGUUGAAAUUUAAAUUUUGAAAUUAGAGUUUUUGUAAUUGUCACAAUUAAGUGUUUUGAAAUGAAAGUGAAAGAUAAAAUCUUUUUAUAAAAGAAAUGUAGUUAGUUGUUGAAGUUGAAUUGAUAGAUUAAAAUAAAAAAAAUGAAAAUGUGAAAUGAAAGUAAGUAUUGUAAUUACAUGCCUUAAUUUAUUAAAAAUAUAAGAUAAAAUCCCAAUAACAAAAUUAAUAAUUAUUUAAUAUUAAAUAAUUUAUUAUAUUUAAAAUUAAAGAGGAGGCUGGGGUGGAGAUGGUUAGGGUUUGAUUUGUUUUUUUACUAAAUUAUUUUUUUUAUUGGUAAAUAAUAUGAUACUUAAUUUUUUUAAGGUAAUAUGCUUUAGUAUGCUGGAACGAGAUAUGUCAAUAUAAAAUAAUUAAAAAUAUUAUUUUAAUAUUAUUCGUGCAUCGCACGGGUACGUAUACUAGUAGUUUUAAAAAGAGAGGACAAAGCCUCUACAUCAAGCCAAGUGGCAGUCCAAAAAUAAGUCACUUGAUAGUUUAGAACAAAAUAUAAUUAGAAUAGUUAUUAGUUGCUACUAUUUUUAAUUUGCUUUUAACAUUUUAAAAAUAAAUUUAAAUUUUGGCAGAAUUUACAGUUGGCAGUUUUUUAAAAAUUCAAAUUUUAAUAAUUAUAUAGAUGUUUUAGUCCUAAUAUACUGCCAACUUCCAUUUAUUUUUAAAAUUUGAAACUUAUACAACUUCUUACACUUACUAGAUUAUCCUUUAAUCUUUAAAUUAGAUUCUAAUUAUACUUUUGAUGUAAAAUAAUUUUACGUAAAAAAAAAAUCAGUUACAACUUCUACGAUUUUUUUUCUCUUAUGUUGAUCACCUUUUACGAUAUUUGUUUCAAAAUCCAACAACAUCUAUGGCUACGUGAAAUAACCAAUGUUCUAAGAAAACUCUCUUCUACCUCGAAAUCAUCUGGAAUGUAUGGAUGUUUGCUUUUCAAAUGGCAAACAUGAUCUACUGUUCUGAUAUUGCUCAAGGACACAGGUAACUAUUAGUUAGUAUAUUGCUAGUUUACCUACUUGAUACGACGUUAACUUAUUAAUCUUGAAAUAGCAGUAAUUAUACAAGCAAUACAUACCAAUAUUACUACCCAUAAUAAAAACUUCAUUAACCCAAACAAAUCUUUCUGUAUUAAAGCAAUAUUUACAGAAUAGGUGCUACGAUUUUCUCUCUUAUGCAUCCAAAUAUUGUAGUAUCGGAUAGAAGCAUCAUAGCUACUAUAUUCUAUGAUGAUUCUUUUGGAAAUUUUGAAUAGUACUAUUGUGAUUAUAUUAUUUGUGCCUAUUUCAAAUCUAAUCCGCAUUUUAUUCAAGUUGAAUAUUUGAAUAAAACAUAUAUAUUUUUAAGAUAUUAUUCGAACUUUUUUAAAAUUAUGUGUUUAGGAGUAGCCAUGACAUCUUUUGUACUUGCUAGUGAUUAUAUUAUGCAUAAUUAUGAUUAUGAUUACAUUAAUUAUUAAUAUUGGUGAAAUAGAAAUAAUGAGAAAGAAGAGUGGGAGGAAAAUAGUUGUUUUUAGGAUAAUGGACACAAAUUGAGAAGAGAAGGGGAAAUAAUCGAACACUAAGCAGAGGGUAAAAGUUUAUUCACACCCGAUGUUUAUAUCAAGUUAAUACACGCAUGUCAUGUAUUUAAAUUUAGAAUUCAUUUUACUUAAUUAUAAGUAAUUAACAUAUAUUUUAUUUUACUAAUUAAGGUGUUACUAGAUUGUUUUAUUGGACUGUGUCUGAUUACUUCAACGAGUUGUUUCCUUAAUGUAGUACAACACAUUGAGAGUUGUUGAGACUUGAAGCUAUUUUUCAAGAUCCAGAUUGGUUACUGUUGGGUUCAAUUGGAGUGAAUGGAAAAUGGAGGGACACAACCUUUUGAGGAAAAGACACAUUAUUUUGGAAAAGGAGUGGCUGUUCGGAUAGUUGUGUCUGUUCAAAAAAAGACACAAUAUUUUGAAUGAACAGACAUGACUCUUCCAAAUAAUACACCUUUUCGGAUGAACCAUUGCCACCUUUUAGAAGGGGCACAUUAUAGCUAUAUAAACCUAUAUUUUUUCCACAGGUUUAGAAUGAAAAAAUUUCUGCAUAAGAAAAAUAUUCUCUUGCUUCUAAAAACUCUGUGAGAUCAUCUCCCGUUGAGUGAGUUAGAAGAAAACCAGAAAGUUAGAGGUACCGCUACAUUCUGGUUGUGAAGUCAUUUUAUCCUGGGAGGAAAAUUUUGCAACCUUGGGUACUCGAGGGGAAUUAUUUCCUCAAGAGCACUCCGUGAAUUCAGAGGACAUGACUUUUUUCUGUUUCAUCUAUUUUUCUUUAAGAAACUGAAAACAUACUUCUUUGAAAGAUCAUUUUGAUCUUGUGUUGAAGGUGUUGGACAACUUCAUAAGUGUUCUUGAUUUAUUCUUGAACUUGUGUUGAAGUAGUGUUGAAAAUACAGAUUUUGUGUACCUGAAAAAUAACAAUCUUAAGGAAAUAAUAUUACUAAUCUGUAUUGUUUCGUUUACUAUUUUUUCAGUAAAUAGUUGAACUUCAUAUUGAUAGUUCUUCAACCUUUUGAACUUGUGUUUGAAGUUCUUGAAACUUUAUUUUGAUAGCUCAUAAGUUGGUUGAACUUGUGUUGAAGUUCUUAACAUUUGAUUUUGCUAUUUUUCAGAAAAUAGUUUGAACUUCAUUUUGUUGAUGUUUAUAAGUUGGGUUGAACUUAUUGUUAAAAGUUAAAAGUUGUAAAUAUAGAGUUAAAACUUCAUUUGAUUGUUCAUAUGUUAAUUUGAACAUGUGUUUGAAGUUAUUAUUGAAAAAUACAGAUUUUAUCAAAAUUGAGAAAAACAACAAUCUUAAGGAAAUAACUUUUGAAAAAAUAGUAUUUUUUUUUGCUUGUUUAGUGAAAUUUUCUUUUCACUAAAGUUUUUUUUUCGGAAUCUGUAUUGCUUGGUUUCUGGAGAUUAAACCUUUUAGCUUUCUACUCCGUUUGAACUUAACUGGUGAUUUGAAGAAAUAAAAAAUCUUCAUCACAAGUUAAAGAUCACUUGGUUGACGAUUGGAAGUCAUAAAAACUUCAUCAUUAAACUAGAAACAAGAGGUGUUUAAAGUUGCUCCAACUUUAUUAAUAGUAUUUUGAUAUACUAAAGUUACUGUCUUGUUAUGAUAGGAAAGUGACUAUGGAUAGUCAAGUGCAUGAUGUUGCAACGACAGUGGCUGCAACUAGUGUUGCCACAACGAGUCGUACAAAUGCUCCGCCGACAAUGGCACCAACGAAGAAACCCAAAAAGUUCGCGGGUAUUAACUUCAAAAGGUGACAGCAAAAAAUAUUUUUCUACCUUACAACUCUUUGUCUUCAAAGGUUCACAUUUGAGGAAGCUGUAGAGGUGCCCGAGAGAACCUCUGAACAAGAGCGAUUUGUGAUUGUGGAGGCUUGGAAACACUUAGAUUUCCUUUGCAGGAACUACAUCUUGAUUGGUCUCCAAGAUGAUCUCUACAAUAUGUAUAGUGGAGCAAAGACAACAAAAGAGUUGUAGGGAGCGCUGGAACGAAAGUACAGGACAGAGGAUGCAGGAACUAAAAAGUUCUUCGUUGUAAGAUUUUUGGAAUAUAAAAUGAUAGACAACAAGUCGUUGUCUCCCAAGUGAAGAAAUUCAAGAGAAAGUGCUUUAACUGCGGCAAGAUUGGCCACAAGUCUACGGAUUGUCGUGCUCCAAAAAAAGGCAAGAAAAAAGACCAAGCAAAUAUGGCUGAGUCCAAGAAAAAAAUGAACGAUCUGUGUGCUAUGUUGUUCGAAUGCAACUUAGUGGAAAAUCCUUGUGAAUGGUGGAUAGAUUUCAAUGCCACCCACCAUGUUUGCGCUAAUAAGGAGUUAUUUGCUAAUUUUUCUCCGGUUUAAGGGGAAGAAAAUAUCUUUAUGGCUAACUCCGCUACUGCAAAAGUAGAAGGAACAGGAACAGUAUGCUUAAAAAUGACAUCAGGCAAAGUGUUGACACUCAAUAAUGUCUUGUAUGUACCAGAGUUAAGAAAGAACUUGAUUUCUGUAUCACUUCUAGACAAGAACGGAUUUAAAUAUGUAUUUGUGUCCGAAAAAGUUCUACUUAGUAAAAGAGAAGUUUAUGUAGGAAAAGGCUACCUCAAUGAGGGCCUAUUUAAAAUGAAUGUAAUAAAUGUUGAAAUCAAUAAAAGUUCAGUUUCUUCUUACUUGCUUGAGUCUUAUGAUUUAUGGCAUGAACGAUUAGGCUAUGUUAAUUACAAAACAUUGAAAAAAUUAAUUAACUUAGAAGUUUUUUCAAACUUUGAGUGCAAUAAAUCAAAAUGUCAAACGUGUGUGGAAUCAAAGUAUGCUAAGCAUCUGUAUAAGUCCGUUGAAAGAAUUCCAAUCUCUUAGACUUAAUCCACACUUACAUUUAUGAUAUGAAGUCAACACCAUCUCGUGGUGGAAAAAAGUAUUUUAUAACUUUUAUUGAAGAUUGCACUAGAUAUUGUUAUGUCUAUUUGCUAAAUAGUAAGGAUGAAGCAAUAACUGCGUUUAGGCAAUAUAAAACUGAAGUUGAUAAUCAGUUAGAGAAAAAUAUCGAAACGAUAAGAAGUGAUAGGGGCGGAGAAUUUAUAUCUCCCUUUGCGAAAAUAUGUGUAAAGAAUAAAAUUAUCCAUCAAACUACAACCCCGUAUUCACCUCAAUCUAAUGGAAUUGCGGAAAGGAAAAAUCGAACCUUGAAAAAAAUAAUGAAUGCCUUACUUAUUCAGGUUUACAACAAAACUUAUGGGGGAAAGCUAUCCUUACGGCUAACCGAAUACUCAAUACAGUGCCCCAUAGUAAGACACAAUCAAUUACAUAUAAAAAAUAGAAAGAAAGAAAACCCAACUUGAAAUAUUUCAAAGUUUGAGAGUGUCUAGCGAAGGUCCAAGUUCCUAUGCCUAAAAGUGUAAGGAUAGGACCUAAGACGGUGGACUGCGUGUUCAUAGGAUAUGCUAAAAGUAGCAAAGCAUGUUGGUUUUUGGUUCAUAAGUCCUAACAUCCGGAUAUCAAUGAAAAUAUGAUAAUUGAAUCAGAUAAUGCUGAAUUGGUUAAAAAUAAUUAUUCGUAUAAAACUAGACAUGAACAGUCUAGUGGGGGGUCUAAACGACCUCAAAAUGAACCAAGUGAGGAUAUACAUAAUGAUGAGAAUCCAAGGCGUAGUACAGUCAAAGAAUGGCAACUUCGUUUGGAUCGAAUUUUGUAACAUUUCUCUUAGAAAAUGAACCUCAAACAUUUAAAGAAGCGAUGGGUCUUCGGACUCAUCCUUUUAGAAAGAGGCAGUCGAUAGUGAGAUUGAUUUAAUCUUAAACAACCAUAUAUAGGAGUUGGUUGAUCUUCCUCCAGGAAAAAAACCUUUAGGUUCUAAAUGGAUCUUCAAAAGGAAAAUGAAAGCGGAUGGUACUAUUGACAAAUACAAGGCAAUACUCAUAGUAAAAGGCUUUAAGCAGAAAAAAGGCCUUGAUUACUUUGAUACAUACUCGCCAGUAACAAGGAUAACGUUGAUUCGAAUGUUAAUUGCCCUGACGGCGGUAUAUGAUCUUAAAAUCCAUCAAAUAGAUGUGAAAAUCACAUUUCUAAAUGGAGAAUUGGAGGAAGAAAUUUACAUGGAACAACCUGAGGGUUUUGUGAUUUCAGGAAAAGAAAAUAAGGUGUAUAAAAAUGUUAAGUCACUUUAUGGACUAAAACAAACACCUAAACAAUGGCAUGUGAAGUUUGACCAAACCAUGUUGGCAAACAUAUUCAAGAUUAAUAAAUGUAAUAAAUGUGUGUAUAUUAAAGACACUCCAAAUCAACAAGUCAUUGUGUGUUUAUAUGUGGAUGAUAUGUUGAUUAGCAGUAGAGACAUUUCUGACAUAAAUGCAACAAAACGAAUGCUCAAGAGCAAAUUUAAUAUGAAAGACCUUGGAAUUGCGGAUGUGAUCUUAGGGAUAAGAAUCCAUAGAACUCCACAAGGGUUGGCAUUGUCACAGUCUCAUUAUAUUGAAAAGGUACUUUACAAAUUCAAGUAUUUGAAAUUUGGUAUUGCCAAGGCUGCAUUGGACGUGAGCUUUCCACUUCAAAAGAAUGAAGGUGAAAGUGACUCAUAGUUGGAGUACGCAAGAGUGUUGGGAUGUUUAAUGUAUAUCAUGAAUUGUACAUGACCAGACAUAACAUGUGUCAUUAACAAGUUGAGUCGGUACAAUAAUAAUCCCAAUAAAACUCAUUGGAUGGAAAUGAAAAGAGUUUUGGGGUAUCUUAAAUACACUCAAGACUAUGCUUUUCAUUAUAAUAAAUAUCCCUCGGUACUUGAAGGAUAUAGUGAUGCAAAUUGGAUCACCGGAUCGAAUAAAGUAAAAUCCACGAGUAGAUAUGUAUUUACUAUUAGUGGAGGAGCGAUCUUUUGGAAAUCUUCCAAAUAAACAUGGAUCGCUCGCUCUACAAUGGAAUCUGAAUUUAUCGCAUUGGAUAAAGCCGGUGAUGAAGCAAAAUGACUUUGAAAUUUCUUUUAAGAUAUUCCUUAUUGGCCCAAACCAGUGACACCAGUAUGUAUACACUGUGAUAGCCAAGCGACAAUAGGUAGGGCAGGGAGAAUGAUGUACAAUGAUAAAUCUCGUCACAUAAGAUGGAGAAAUAAUACCGUUAGAGAACUUCUCUCUUGUGGAAUUAUCACUGUUGACUAUGUGAAGUCAGAAUAAUGUGUCAGAUCUACUUACAAAAGGCCUAUCUAGAGAAGAAGUUGAGAGAACAUUCAAGGAAAUAGGUUUAAGGCCUAGGACAAGUAAGCAUGACGGUAACUCUACCUAGCAUCCUGGAGAUCCCAAGAGCUAGGUUCAAGGAGAUCAAACAAAGUUGUGUCUGACAGGUUCAAUAUUAUCAAUAUACCCAAUUCAUUCUCAUGAUGUAGACAAUGUUUAGUAAACAAGGAUAAGACUUAUGGUGUAAAGUCUUAUAAUGAUUAUCUAAAUUUGGAAGAUUGAUCAAAUAGUUUAAUCUACAGGAUUGAACGUUUAGAAAUUACCUAUGUGAGGGCAAAGUUGAAGCCGCUUCAAAGAGAAUGUUAGUAAAGGCCUAUUCUCUUAGCUCUUAUGAGACCGAAACGUAUUCAUGGCUGAAACGAAUAAAAUUGUGAGAACCAUAAAUGAUAAAAGGAUAGUUGUGUGACAUAUGUUGUCUAGUGUACAUUAAAGCUUGACGGUUCAAAGAUAUCAAAUCUAUCGAUUGACCGAGUGCAUCCGAUGCAUGUUCACUAUGGAAAGUUCAAAGGGAAACCUAUUUAUCCAGAUGCAAUCAGUCUUUGAUUGAUGAUCACAUACUUGUCUGUAAAAUUUUACAAAGAAUAGCCAUUCCCCAUUCAUGUGGGAGAUUGGUGGGUUCAAUUGGUAUGAAUGGAAAAUGGAGGGACACAACCCUUUGAGGAAAAGACACAUUGUUUUGGAAAAUGAGUGACUGUUCAUAUAGUUGUAUCUGUUCAGAAAAAGACAUAAUAUUUUGAAUGAACAUACAAGACUCUUUUAAAGGAUACACCUUUUCGGAUGAAUUAUUGCCACCUUUCGGAAGGGGCACUUUAUGGCUAUAUAAACUUGAAUUUUUUUCACAGGUUUAGAAUGAAAAAAUUUCUGUAUAACAAAAAUAUUCUCUUGCUUCUAAAAAAUCUGUGUGAUCAUCUCCCGUUGAGUGAGUUCGAAGAAAACUAAAAAGUUAGAGGUACCACUACAUUCUGGUUGUGAAACCAUUUUAUCCUGGGAGGAAAAUUCUGCAACCUCGGGUAUUUGAGUGGAAUUAUUUCCUUAAGGAAACUCCAUAAAUUCGAAGGACUUGGCUUUUUUCUGUUUCAUUUAUUUUUCUUUAAGAAGCUGAAAACAUAAUUCUUUGAAAGAUCAUUUUGAUCUUUUGUUGAAGGUGUUGGACAACUUCAUAAGUGUUCUUGAUUUAUUUUUGAACUUGUGUUGAAGUAGUGUUCCAAAAAUACAGAUUUUGUGUACCCAAAAAACAACAGUUACAUGUCAGUUAGCUGUAAAUUUCAUACUUGAGUUGCUAUUCUGUUUGGAUUAGACUGUGUCAUGAUUAACGAAUCAAAUAAUCCAACAUGACGAGUACGUAACAUUCUAUCUAAAUUCAGGGUCUAUCAGAAAUAACCUCUCUAUCCCUAUGAGGUAGUUUUAAGGUCUGCAUAUACUCUACCCUCACUAGACUCCACCUAUGAAAUUACACUAGGUAUGUCAUUAUUGAUAAGUAGCAUUCUAAAAGAUCGAAACUUUGUACCAAGGAAUUUGUAAAAAAAUAAAAGGGCGUGGUGUCUCCUUUAUUAGUUGAAACUUCAUUGAAACUUUAAGAACCAAACUAGAGACAUGAAACAUCAAUUGCAAUAUUGCUUCCCAAGUGUCUGUUGUGAGUUACUUUUAACCCUACGCAUAUCGGGAGCUUUAGUGCACUGCGCUGCCCUUUUACUAAGUAACACAAAUUUUUGAUUACUCUUUUCUUAUUUGAUUUUAGAAUGCGUGGUCUCUUUUUAAUUUUGGUGUCAAAUUUCAAAUUGCUUCAACGGGCAUUCCCAUAAGAGGUUGCAAUUUUUAGAGAUUUGAGAGUGCUGCUCUUAGGGCAUAUUUAGAGGAUUUUCUUUCUUUUUUUCUUCCUUUAUGUCCAAAAUAUUAAAGAGUUCUUUAACCUUUGGCUUUUUUCCUUAUUGAUUUUGCACAUUCAUUGAUAAUUUUGUGUCUCCUUCAAUAGUUGCCACUUAAUAAGCUAUGCAUGAACAAGAUGACGUGACACUACUCUUGCAUUUUGGGAGGCAUUUUCUAAUAUUCCUACGUAUUAUUCCUUUUUGGCAUUCCCUGUCUCUUGUAUGAAAACAUACACUAAUUUGUUUUAGAGAAACUCUAAAUUGAGUCUUGUGAGAAAACUAAAGUUGUAACUCUUCAACUUUAUGUAGUUAACAUUGUGUUUUUUGAUGUUUAUGUUUUUUUUUUAAAAAAUAUUUCUUUAGUCUGUUUAAUGGAUAGUAGUCCAAUUUCUAAUUUAGUGUUUGGUUAUCUAAUGAAUUUUCAGUGAUCUUUUCAUUCUUCAACGUAUAUAUGCUCAUUUCUUUCUUCCCAUAUGCUAUAAUCUUUUGCUUAAUUUGUUUUAGUAUAACAUUAUGGUAACUGGUAAGGAGAUCUCAUUUUGUUUAUUGAGUACUAAUAAAUUUUGUUUUAUACCCUGUCUUAAAAGGGCAGUCCGGUGCACUAAAACUACCUCUAUGCGCGGUGUCCGGAAAAGGGCCCCACCACAAGGGUGUAUCAUACGCAACCUUACCUUGCAUUUCGGCCAGAGACUGUAAACCUUGUCUUAAUCCUAGAUUUUAAAUUUCUGAUCUUUAUAUGAAUUUAAGAAAACACCAUCAAUAGAAUUACUUUAAACACUACUUUGGUGUUACAAAUUGUCUCGGUGUAACUUCUGUAAACAUCGAGCGCCAACACUAUUUGCUUUAUUAUUUUUCCCUUGGAAGAGUAGGUUAUCGGAAACUGCAAAUUCAAAUCAGAUUAAUCAACUUUAUCAAGGCUUAGGUUCUUUGGAACAUUUUUUUUUUUUUUUUUUUUUACAAUUUUAGAAAAGAUAAUUUUAGCACUUUUUCUUUAUUUUAGUAUCUCGAGCCGAAGUUCUUUUGAAAACUGUCUCUCCUCAAAGUAGAGUUAAGAUUUGUGUACAUUCUAUUAUCCUGAAAUUCACUUACAGGAUUUCACUUAAUAUAUUGGCUUUUAAGCACUGGUGUAAUUUGUUUAGAGAAUAUGAAUUUCAUAAGCAUCAAGUUGAUGAAAAAUAAAGCGCUUCGUCCAAUACGGAGUAUCAGAAUAAUAUGUCUACAAUGGAAUUAAAGGUAACUUUUUUUAUUUAAUUAUCAAAUUUGGUAUAUCAACCUUUUCCUUACAAUUAAAUUAUUCUCUAUAAUUGCCACAAGGUGUCUCAGCGGUCAACGAAGUGGGUUGAGAACAUGAAUGUCUCGGGUUCAAACCCCGACAGAGAUAAAAAAACAAGGUGAUUCUUCCCAUAUGUUCUAGCAUUGGUGGAUAGAAUCUGGUGGGAGGUGUUAGGUAUCCCGUGUAUAUAGUCAAGGUGCGCAUAAGCUGGCUAGGCACCAUGAUUAUCAAAAAUAUUAUUCUCUGUAAUUUAAUGUUUUUGUUUUGGUUACAAGAGAAUUCAUGUUUGGUUAAACAACAUUAAAAGCAUUCUUUAUAAUCUUCAAAUUUACGGGUGCUAUUCCAACUGAAAAUUAGUUCUAUGAUUAAUUUUCUUAGAUUUAUUUGAAACCUGUUAUUGAAUUCAGGAUAUGAUUUUACUUAAUGGUGUAUGUUGCAAAAUGAAGUGAUUUUACUGGUUAUAUGUAUCAAAAAGGAUGUUCAGAAGUAAUGAAUAAGAUAUACAUCACCGAUUCUAUUUUUUAAAACAUAAAUGCAGAACUUUUAGCUAUAACUUUGAUAAGAACAAUUACAAAUUUCAACUAAAAACUACAAGCAGGUGAAUAUUUGAGUUUACAAUCGUAAUAAGUUUAUAUACUUGGCCAAAAUUUCAAUUAUAAAUUAAGUCUUUUAUACUUUCCGCGCAUCGUGCAGGUACUACACUAGUGGUAACUAGGUUCCUUAAUUAAAUGCGUAGAAAUAUAUGAAAUAAAUGUAUUAGAGUAAAAUUGAUGGAGACCAUCUAAAAUGAUGCUAUAUUUGUUGGUUAGCAAUUUUUUAAAAAUUGUUGGUAUAGUAAGGGCUUAUGUUUCUUAUGUCACGUAAUUUUUUUUAUCAAAGAAACAUAAAAUCAAAAUUAAAACAUGUUUGUGAAAGGUUACAGAACCAAAUCUUUCUCUAAGUGCUUACUAAAAAGGUCACAUAUUCAAAAGUUAAAAUCUCUUGACCACUUGUAAAAUGAAUAGAUAAAAGUAUUUUUUUAUAUUUGUUUUAAGUGUAAAAAUGAAAAUCUAUUGAAAAGAUUAUAAAACUAAAAAAAUAAAUAAAAUAUAAAUUUCCAAAAAAAAAAUCAACUAUCCCCGCAUAUUAGCAAGUCAUUAAAAAUUAAAGUGUUCUUCUUGGUUUGCUCUUAUUAAUUUUUUUUUUACUUGUUCAAUUUAUUUAUUUUUAUUUGAUGAAAAAGAAAUUGAUUUAAAUUGAUAUUGGUGUUUUUUUUUUUUUUUUUUAAAGUAUUAAGACCAAUUCUAGUAUUUAGAUUAAUUAUUUUAAUCCUUAAUUUACUCCUGCCUCAAUAUGACCACCUUUCAUCUAAUACUUUUAGGAAAACGGAUAAUUUUUCAGUCAAAUUCUUUUUUCAUAAUACAAAUCAUUAUAGCAUAAAACCUUAAACCGAAUUUGAAAAGGUUAAGUUCCAAAUACAAUCCAAUUAGAAUAAGGAUUAGGUUCAGUUCUGCCCUGCUAUGUAUUGCUAUCCAUUAUAUCAACAUCCUAAUACACCUUAUUAAUUCCACCACUUUGUGCUGCCUGUUUAAUAGGUGUGAAUAAAAAAUGGAGGGACACAAUUUUUGAGGAAAAAACAUAUUAUUUUAGAAAAUAAGUGACUAUUCAGAUAGUUGUUUCUGUUCAGUUAAAGACACAAUGUUUCGAAUGAACAGACAUGACUCUUCCAAAGGAUACACCUUUUCGGAUGAACCAUUGUCACCUUUCGGAAGGGGCACUUGAUGACUAUAUAAACCUUCUUUUAUCCACAGGUUUAGGAAUGAAAAAAAUAAUAAUUCUGAAAUACAAACUCUUCUUGUCUUCAAAACAUUCCUUGUGAUCAAUCAAAUCGUUGAGUGAGUUCGACGAAUCCAAUUAUUGAGGUACCAGUAUAGUUGGAUUGAAAGACCAUUUAUCCUGGGAGGAAGAUUCCAAAACCUCGAGUACAGUGAGGGGAAUUAUUCCUUAAGGACACUCCAUGAAUUCGGGGGACUUGGCUUUACAUUUCUGUUUCAUCUUAAUUUCUGAAAAAAUAAAACACACUUCUUAGAAAGACCACUUUGAUCUUGUGUUGAGUGUGUUGUUGUACUUCAUAGUGUUCUUGUUUUAAAGAAAAUGAUGAAUGUCUUACUUAUAAGUUCAGGUUUACCGCAAAACUUGUGGGGGAGGCUAUCCUUACAGCAAACCGAAUACUCAAUAGAGUUCCCUAUAGUAAGACACAAUCAAUCCCUUAUGAAAAAUGGAAAGAAAGAAAACCCAACUUGAAAUAUUUCAAAGUGUGGGGGUGUCUAGCAAAGGUCCAAGUUCCUAUACCUAAAAAGGUUAAGAUAGGACCUAAGACGGUGGACUGCGUGUUCAUAGGAUAUGCUAAAACUAGUAAAGCAUGUCGGUUUUUUGUUCAUAAAUUCGAACAUCCGGAUAUUAAUGAAAAUACGGUAAUUGAAUCAGAUAACGCUGAAUUCUUUGAAAAUAAUUAUCCGUAUAAAACUAGACAUGAACAGUCUAGUGGAGGGUCUAAAUGAUCUCGAGAUGAACGAAGUGAGAAUGCACAUAAUGAUGAGAAUCCAAGACGUAGUACCCGUCAAAGAACGUCAACUUCAUUUGGAUCGGAUUUUGUAACAUUUCUCUUAGAAAAUGAACCUCAAACAUUUAAGGAAGCGAUGACGUCUUCGGACUCAUUCUUUUGGAAAGAGGCAGUCGAUAGUAAGAUUGAUUCAAUCUUAAGCAACCAUACAUGGGAGUUAGUUGAUCUUUCUCUAGGAAACAAAUCUUUAGGAUCUAAAUGGAUCUUCAAAAGAAAAAUGAAAUCGGAUGGUACUAUUGACAAAUACAAGGCAAGUCUUGUAGUAAAAGGCUUCAAACAAAAAGAAGGCCUUGAUUACUUUGAUACAUACUCACCGGUAACAAGGAUAAUGUCGAUUCGAAUGUUAAUUGCCUUGGCGGCGGUAUAUGAUCUUGAAAUCCAUCAAAUGGAUGAGAAAAUCGCAUUCCUAAAUGGAGAAUUGGAGGAAGAAAUUUAAAUGGAACAACCUGAGGGUUUUGUGGUUCCAAGAAAAGAAAAUAAGGUGUGUAAACUUGUUAAGUCACUUUAUGGACUAAAACAAGAACCUAAGCAAUGACAUGCAAAGUUUGACCAAACCAUGUUGACAAACGGAUUUAAAAUUAAUGAAUGUGAUAAAAUGUGUUUAAUUAAAGACACUCCAAAUCACCAAGUCAUUGUGUGUUUAUAUUUGGAUGAUAUGUUGAUCAUUAGUAGAGACAUUUCAGACAUAAAUGCAAUGAAACGAAUGCACGAAAGCAAGUUCGAUAUGGAAAACCUUGGAGUUGUGGAUGUGAUCUUAGGGAUAAGAAUCCAUAGAACUCCACAAGGGUUGACAUUGUCAUAGUCUCAUUACAUCGAAAAGGUACUUGACAAAUUCAAGUAUAUAAAAUUUGGUAUUGCCAAGACUCCAUUGGAUGUGAGCUUUGCACUUCGAAAGAAUGAAGGUGAAAGUGACUCAUAAUUGGAGUACGCAAGAGUAUUGGGAUGUCUAAUAUAUAUAAUAAAUUGUACACGACCAGACAUAGUAUGCGCUAUUGGUAAGUUAAGUCGGUACACGAGUAAUCCCAACAAAACUUAUUGGUUGGCAAUGGAAAGAGUUUUGGGGUAUCUCAAAUACACUCAAGACUACGCUUUGCAUUAUAAUAAAUAUCCCACGGUACUUGAAGGAUAUAGUGAUGCAAAUUGGAUCACCAGAUUGAACAAAGUAAAAUCCACGAGUGGAUAUGUAUUUACUAUCAGUGGAGGAGCGGUCUCUUGGAAAUCAUCCAAAUAGACUUGUAUUGCUCGCUCUACAAUGGAAUCUGAAUUUAUCGCAUUGGAUAAAACCGGUGAAGAAGCAGAAUGACUCUGGAAUUUCUUAGAAGAUAUUUCUUAUUGGCCCAAACCAGUGGCACCAGUAUGUAUACACUGCGAUAGCCAAAUGAGGAUAGAAAGGGCAGGAGCAUGAUGUACAACGAUAAAUCUCAUCACAUAAGAUGGAGACAUAAUAUCCUUAGAGAAUUUCUCUCUAGUUGAAUUAUCACUGUUGACUAUGUGAAGUCAAAGGAUAAUGUGUCGAAUCCACUUACAAAAGGCCUAUCUUGGUUAGGAGUUGAGAGAACAUCCAAGGGAAUGGUUUUAAGGCCUAGGACAAGUCAGCAUGGUGGUAACUCUACCUAGCAGACUGGAGAUCCCAAGAGCUAGGUUCAAGGAGAUUAAACAAAGUUGUCUCUAACAGGUUCAACAUUGGCAAAAUACCAACCCAUUCUCAUGAUGUAGACAAUGUUUAGUAAACAAGGAUAAGACUUAAGGUGAAAAGUCUUUUAAUGAUUAUCUAAAUUUGACAGAUUUGACCAAAUAGUUUAAUCUAUAGGAUUGAACGUUUAGAAAUCACCUAUGUGAGGGCGAAGUGGAAGCCGCUUCAAGGAGAAUGUUAGUAAAGGCCUAUUCUCUAAACUCUCAUGAAAUCGAGACGUGUUCAUGAUUGAAAAGAACAAAACCGUGAGCACAAUAAAUGGUAAAAGGCUGGUUGUGUGACAUGUGUUGUCUAGGUGUACAUUAAAGCUCGACGGUUCAAAGAUAUCAAAUCUACUGAUUGACCGAGUGCAUCCGAUGCGUGUUCACUACGAAAAGUUCAAAGGGAAACCCAUUUAUCCUGAUGCAAUAGUUUUUGCUUGAUGAUCACAUAUUUGUCCAUAAAGUUUUACAAAAAAAUAGCCAUUCCCCAUUCAUAUGGGGGAUUGUUGGGUUCAAUAGGUGUGAAUGGAAAGUGGAGGGACACAACCUUUGAGGAAAAGACAUAUUAUUUUGGAAAAUGAGUGACUAUUCAGAUAGUUGUGUCUGUUCAGAAGAAGACACAAUAUUUCAAAUGAACAAACACUACUCUUCCAAAGGAUACACCUUUUCGGAUGAACCAUUGUCACCUUUUGGAAGGGGCACUUGAUGGCUAUAUAAACCUGCUUUUAUCCACAGGUUUAGGAAUUAAAUUUUUUUUUUUUUGAAAUACAAACUUUUCUUGUCUUUAAAACAUUGGUUGUGAUCAAUCAAAUCGUUGAGUGAGUUCGACGAUUCCAAUUAUUUGAGGUACCACUAUAGUUGGAUUGAAAGCCAUUUUAUCCUGGUAGGAAAAUUUCAAAACCUCGGGUACAGUGAAGGGAAUUAUUCCUUAAGGACACUCCGUGAGGUUGGGGGGACUUGGCUUUACAUUUCUGUUUCAUCUUAAUUUCUGAAAAAAUAAAACACACUUCUUAAAAAUCCCUCUUUGAUCUUGUGUUGAGGGUGUUGUUGUACUUCAUAGUGUUCUUGUUUUAAACUUGAACUAGUGUUGAAGUUAUUGUGUCAAAUUACAGAUUCUUGUACCCGAAAACGUUGAAAGAUAACACUGCCUUCUUCACAAAUCUCACAUAUACAUACAUGGCUGCCUGCAGUCGUAUUGGGGAUUCUCUCUCUGUUUUGCGUUGGCGCAUAUGCUUUGAAAGGAUGCCCGUUUAAAGCCUUGUACCAGCAACAUAGGAAUUCAAUAUCAAUUGAUCACCGUCAACAACUCUCAAUUCAUGUCAACAACGAUACGCGGACAGUGAUUGGAGAAACACCUCAUGAUAUUAACUUCUUUACUCGAUAUGAUCAAUGGCACAAAAAUCAAGCCACCACGAUGGAGAAAGAGAAAAGUACCAAUAACAAUGACUACAACAAUUUCUGCAUAGUAGGUUUCAUCAUUGUUAUAACUCUUGCGAUUAUCCGUCUAUUUCGUGUUGAUCAUGCCGCUCACGCUCCGAGGGAAUGUCCGUUUAAAUCCAUGUACCGCAAAUAUGGAAAUUCCAUGUUGUCAAGUAGUACUAAUCUUGGAGUAAUUGGAGAAACACCUCAUGAUCGUAGCGCCUUUUUUGAUCAACAUCAAUGGCUCAAAAAUCACGUUAACAUGAUGCAGAAAAAGAUGUAAUUAAUGAAUCAAAGAUCAAUUUUAUGGAGAACACAUUGAAGCAAUGAUUAGAAUGUCUUUAUUGGUGACUAAAAACAUAGUAAUAUGUAUUGUACUUAGUAGAUGUUGGUCUAAGUCAUUGAACAAGCGUCUGUUCUAAUUGUGAAAUAGAAUCAUAAUAUUAGUUUAUCUAUGUUUUCUUAGUUUUGUUUUUAAUUAGCGCUAUAGACUUGUUUUUCCAGAUGUCAUGACUCAUGAGCUCCACUUUGAAUGUAAACUAUAGGAUAUGUGGGGUACUUAAUGAUUGUUAAGUAUGUUUGGUUGUGGUUACUCCAAAAAUCUCCACAUGGAAUGUGCGUGUUUUUCCCCUUUGGAAAUCGUGAUUUCCGAUUUAGCUUAUUACGUAUCUUUCACUAGUGAGUAUCAAGAAAGAAUUAUCUAGUGUUUUUAUAAUUAUGUUAAAAUUCAAAUCUAAGAUCUUGUAUUUUUUUGUUAAUUAGUUGUUAGGUCUGAAUGUGACUGGAAAAAGAUUGUGUAAGGAAGUGCACUUCAAUUUUUUUUUUUUUAAAUCGUGAAAGUUGUAAACGAGCAUUUCAUUUGAAAUAUAUAUUUUCAAACCAAUUUUCAUUUCAUGUUCAAAUACAGAAAUUUCAAAUACUUAUGAUCAAAAUUGAGGAAAAAAAAUUAAACGAACAAAACUGGGAAAAAGAGAAACAAUUAGGAUCGGGAUUCACAAGAAAUUUGUGGUGAAGCGGUAGUUUAUCCUUAACUUAGUCUCAAAGAUUUAAGCUCAAGAUAUGAAGCCGCCUUACCUUCAAAGUGCGAUUUUCUAACAUAAAUUCAAAUUAAUUUUUGUACUUAACUUAAUUAGUCUCAUUCAAUAGCGACUCAAGUAAAUUCGUGGCCUAAGACUAAAAUCAAACGGAAGUCUUAAUUUUUUAAGAAAAAAUAAUUUUUUUUUAUAAAGUCUACUUUUAAAAUUAUAUAAUCGAUUUCUUCUAAUAAUUUUUUUUAAUUAAUAAUAUAAUCAAUGUAUUAAAUCUUUCUUGAGACAUAUUAUUCUAGACUAGAUAUAUCACUCCUUUUAAAUUCCUUUUACGUAAAGAGUUUAUUUUUUCUACAAAUAGUGGUAAUCUAUUAUUACUAAAAAUAAAUACAUAAGGCCCCUCAAAUUUGGAAAUAUACGGAGGUGCCUUUUUUUUUUUUUUUCGAAAGGGCAGAGUCGCUCCUAGUCUCAAGGUUGUGCAUUUAUUUGUCUUUUUGGUUUGCCCUUAUUUUUUUCCUUCUUCAAUUUAAUUUUUUAUUUGAUCAUAAAAAGUUACUUUAAAUUGUUAUUGAUAUUCUUUUUAAAUUUAUUAAAACCAGUUUUAGCAUUUAAAUUAAGUGUGUUGUCCAAUAAAAUAAAAAUAGCUUGAGUGUUGGAACUUGGAAUUCUCAAUUUUACUCAUGCCUCAAUAUCUAUAUCUAUAUCUAUAUCUAUAUCAAUAUCUAUAUCUAUAUCUAUAUCUAUAAUCUAUAAUCUGUAAUCUACAAUUCUAUAAUAUAUUAAAAGUGUGAAGACCCUUAUAAAAGUGAUUUAAACUUUUUGUCCUUUAUUACAAGUCUCUACUUUAGACAAAUCGUAUUUUCACUAUUUUUCUAAUAAUAAAAAACAAACAUUAAACAAAAAAUUACAAGAAAAAUUCAAUCCAGAUUUGAUUUGGAUUUGGGAGUUAAAACUCGUGCUUAUAUAUAUGCUUUUGUUUAGAUUUUCUUGUACAACUAAAGUCAACCAAAAUUAAAUAAAAUAAUAUUUAACACUUCUAAAUCAAUUCAAAUUUUACCUUAUAUAAAUUAGAGUCCUAUUUAAGGAGUAAUAUUUUGGAUCAAACUUUACAAAAACAUAGUUUUGCAUAUAUUUUUUGCUUAAUUUAAUAAUUUUGAUUCAAGUUUUCUUCUUACAAUCAUUAUUAUCAUCUACUUUCUCUUGUUUUUUCUUUCAGUUUAUUUUGUUUGAUAGGACAAUUACAACUUACCUUCAACUGCUGAUCCUUUGAAAUGUACAUAUGUAUAUGUCCUUUGAAAAUAUUGUUUGGUUCCUCACAUAGCCAAAUUAGAGAUAAAAGAGCUAAGAGGUUUUUUUUUUUUACAAUUCUGUCAUCGUAAAAUUUAUUUGAGUAGAAAUAUGACAGAACCAGGUAAGAAUUAGUUAUACUAAAUGGCUCAUGCAUAAAGUCCUUUAUAUACUAGUAGGAGCAGUAGUUUUUGAUUAAGAGUCAUAAUUGAUCUAUGCUUCGUAUUGAAUAUUGAAGUUUUAAAUUUUUUGCAUUGUUCUUAUUUACUUAUUUUUAGUGAGUUAUAACUUAUUUUAGUCAGUAAGUUCUCUUUGAUUCUCUUGUGUUGUAUUCUAUAAUUUUUUUCUUUAACAAUGAACAAACGUCUUCUGUGGAAAGUUGGACAAUACGCUAUUUCUUUGGUCAUUAUUUGAUUAAUUUUUUGAAAUUAUAGAUUAUUGUAUGGAGUAGACAUGAAAUUAAUAUAUACCCACAUGAAGACAUCUCUAUAUCAAGUUCGUUUGUUUAAUCUGUCAUUUAGUUAAAUUUGAAGUUGUAAAAUUUCAUUGUGUUAACUCUUACAUGUUCAUAGUUAGUAUGACGGGAUUUUGUCAUUGGUGGUGAACAUUUAGAGGAAGAGGUACAUGGAGAAAUGAGUGUUUGAUAGCUCAAUUUAAAGAUGUGUUUGAUUCAUUACGAGGUCACUUCUAUUCUAUUCUUCUUCUUCUUCCUUUUUUUCUUGGGUCAUCUUCUUAAUUUCGCUCUAAGCUAUUAAAUUAUGUCAACUAAUUCGUUGAGUAAAAAUGAUAACAGAAAAGAUAUUUUGAUGAAUACAACUAAGAAGAAUAAUCUGGAUCAUACGCGUGACUUGCGAGCUACCAAUAUAAGAGUCUUUUGAGCCUUAAAAUUCUUUCAUGUUUAUUUCUCUUAUAUGAUUCAUUAUUUGAAUUUAACUUUUAAAAGUAUAUAUAAAUUUAAAGAUUAUUUUUUAUUGAUGGUUAUUAAGGACAUAUCAAACAAGUAUUCAAUGUAAUUGUAAUAGCUUCAUUUUAGAAGUCACAAUUAUGACUUUGGAAACUUUAUAAUGUAGUAAGAUGCUAUAUUAGUUGCUUUAAUUGUGUUUAUAGCUAAAAAUCAACAUGUCAAGGGUUUUCCUCUUUUAAUAAUUUCUCAUGUAUUUUCUUUAAUUAAAAUAUUUUGAUCGAAAAAUUUGACGUGAUACACGUACAUUAAACUAGUUUCAUCUAAUAAUAGGAAACUAAUAUUAUUAUAGCAUAAAAUUUUAAACCGAAUUUGAAAAGGUUAAGUUCCAAAUACGAAUCCAAUUAGAAUUAGGAUUAGGUUCAGUUCUGCCCUUCUAUAUAUUGCUGUCCAUUAUUAUUAUAUCAACUUCCUAAUACACCUACAAAUCACAAAUAUACAUACAUGGCUGCCUCAACAAAAUUAGCAGUCGUCUUGGUGAUUCUCUCUCUGUUUUGCAUCGGUACACACGCUUUGAAAGGAUGUCCGUUUAAAGCCCUGAACCAGCGACAUUGGAAUUCAAUCUCAAUUGAUCAUCGUCAACAACUUUCAAUUCAUGUCAACAACAAUACACGGAUAGUAAUUGGAGAAACACCUCACGAUAUCGACUUCUUUACCCGACAUGAUCAAUGGCUCAAAAAUCAAGUUAUCACGAUGGAGAAAGAGAAAAGUACCGAUAACAAUGACUACAACAAUUUCUACAUAGUAGGAUUCAUCUUUGUUGUUAUUCUUGCGAUUAUCAAUCUACUUCGUGUUGAUCAUGCCGCUCAUCACGCUCCAAGGGAAUGUCCGUUUAAAUCCAUGUAUCGUAAGUAUGGAAGAUCUAUGAUGUCAAGUAGUACUACUCUUGGAGUAAUUGGGGAAACACAUCAUGAUCAUAGCACCUUAUUCGAUCAACAUCAAUGGCUCAAAAAUCACGUUAGAAUGAUGCAGAAAAAGAUGUAAUUUAUGACCUACAAGAUCUUUUAUAGCAUAGACAUUGAAGCAAUGAUCAGAUGAGGUACUUUAUUGGUGGCUAUAAACAUAGUAAUAUGUAUUGUAGUAGAUGUUGGUCUAAGUCGUUCUAAUUGUGACAAUAGAAUCAUAUUACCUACUUAUUGGUUUAUCUAUAUAUGUUUUCUUAGUUUUGUUGUCAGCUUGUACAUACUCGUUUUCCUAAAUUUUCACAUGCUCCAGUUUGAAUGUAAACUAAGAUAUGUGGGCUAAUUGAUUAUAUGUUUGGUUGUGGUUACUCCAAAAAUCUUCACUAGGAUGUUGUGCCGUGUAUUUUUAUCCUCUCAGAAUCGUUGUGUCUUAUGUCUUGUUAUCAGCUUGUACAAACUCGUUUAUAUGAAAUAAUUCGUAUUUAUUGAAAAAACUAUGAGAAUUAAUUCAAAUUUGUCCAUAAAUCGUACGUUAAUGGUAUACAGUUUAGAUGCAACUUUGAACCAUCAUAUAUAAUUUAGAACAAAUUUGGACCUUUACCAUGCCGUAGUAAUUAAAAAAAACAAGAAGAAAAAAUUUCAAACAAACGAAAUGGGGGAAAAGAGAGACAAUUAGGAAUGGGCUUCACCACGAAGGGUGGUUGGGAAACAAAUUAUUUCCGAAUUAGUUAUCCCCAAAUUAUUAUCUUUUGAUUAUUUAUUUUGGGAUUGCUAUUUCACUCUCAAGGUGAGAUAAAAAUAACACCACAAUCUCCGGAUAAGUUAUUCCAUGAUUUUAUCUCAAUCAAAUAUGAAAUAAACUCAUCCUAAAAUUAAUUUCGAGAUUAGUUAUUCAUUGUUCCUCCUACCAAACGAGUUCUAAAGGUUGUGGUGGAGUUGUAACUAGUAAGUACUUGUUUAUUCUUAAAUAAAUGUCUCAUAUUUGAGCCCUAAACAUGAAGUCGUGCUUUACUCUAUUUCUAACACAAUUUUAAAUAAAUCAAACCUCAAAACAUCCGAUCUGGAUAAGAGAAAAAAAAAGAGAGUAGGAACAGGAAUCACAUGGGUAUACACUACUCCCUUCGUCUCAUUUUGUAUGACACACUUUUCUUUUUGAUUGUUCAGACAAAGAAUGAUGCAUUUUUUUAUUUGGUAACUAUUUAAGACGUAGUUUUUUUAUCCUUAUUGAUUCCUCUUAAUUUUAUUCCUUCUCUUUUUUACCUUUUUUUUAAAAAAGAACAAUUUGAUAAAAUUCACAAAAUUUUUAUUUAUUUUUUAAACUCCGUGUAACAACUCAAGUUACUAAUACAAGAAUAGCAAGUAUUAUAACCUUUACUUAUUUUUAAAACUCUGUGUAGCAACUCAAGUUACUAAUACAUGAAUAAAGGUAUUAUAAUCAGCUUCAUGUUAGGGGUUUUAUCUUUUCAACUCAGCUAUGUCCUUCAUCCGAAGACAUGAUGGACAACUACCCUUAUUUGUUCACUUCUAACAAUGAUUCAGUAAGAGUAAUAGAUCUCUCUCCUAGCAUUACGCUCUUCAAAUUUCAUGUCUAAAUUGUUCCAUAUGAUUCCUAUGUAUGUGUUCAUGUUCCAUAUGUACCAGUUGAGUCAGUACUCUGUCAAAAGGGUGAUUCCAGAUAUGAAACAUGAUCAAUUUUAGAAAUUCAGUUUUAUUUUAACUUUAGAAACACCUCUGACAGAAAUGUAAGGUAAGGUUGCACACAAUACACUCUUGUGGUGGGGUCUUUCCCUGGACCCUGCACAUAGCAGGAGUUUUAUUGCACCAAAAUGCUAUUUUUUUUAGUAACUACAUUCUUUUCAUCCUAAUAUCAAUCUUCAUCAUAGGAAGGAUGACCCAGGGGAGAGAUAUUAUAAUACUCCCAAAGUUCAUGCAAGUUCUUAGUGGGUUACUAUGUGUUUUAGGGUUAUGAGAAGUCCCUAACACAUAUAUAGUUAAAUUGUAAACUCCUCUUUCGGCCAAGUUUUAGUGUGAGGUUAUUUUUGAGUCAAAUUCAAACAAUCAUUACUCCUUUAAUAUGAAAGAUUUUGCAGCGUAAAACCCACCAAACAAAAGAUCUUUGAUUCUUGUUUUCAAUGCAUUUGAUUUCUCCUUAAUCUGAUAUCGGAGUAGAAAGUUAUGCUCAUUUUACCUGAAGGUGUUUGUUUGCCAGAGAUUGACGACCUGAGUUGACGAAUUGUCAACGAGUUGACGAACCGUUAACCUUAACUAGUAAAGCUUAAAAUCGGCUAGACAUUGACGACCUAAGUUGAGAAGCCAUCAACAGGUUGACGGACCAUCAACCAAGUCGUCAGAUAGGAAGUUUCUGCAGUUUUUUUAGUUUCCUUUGGGGUAAUGGUCCUUUCCUUACCCCAAAAUCUUUCCCCACGACUUAAAUCACUCGAUAAAUGUUAUUUACUUAGCAAUUUAAUAAGUUUUCAUCGCUUUUUAUCCUCUCCACUCUCACGAGAAAUGAAAUUAGUCUUUUUUCCAAAGUUUAACUUUUGAGGCUCCAAACUCAAAGUUUCUUUUAAGAAAUUUGGGUAUGUGAGGUUUGAACAAGGGUUUCCUUUCCCCCUUGUGCCCAAAAAUGUUAUUUUUUUUUAUAAUUAAGUUUAUGGAUUUGCUUAAUAAGGUUCAUAUCCACUUUACAUGAUUUAAAAUUAUGGUGCUCUCUUUUGAAUGAAAUUGUAUUUAUUAUGAAAAUUCACAAUUUACUCAUGAUUUUACUUGUAUGGUCGAGCUCGUGAAGUGAAUUUUAUUUUUUUUUGACAUGAAAUACCAUAAGUUGGUAAAUGCAUAUGAUUUUAGCACGAUUACUUAGUUUACAAGAAAUUUAGACUUAUGAUUUUAGAUUCAGAAUGAAACUGACAUUUGUACUUAUGAUUAUGAAAUAGAAACGGAAGCAUAUUAUGGUUUUAAAAUUUAUCAGAUUAUAUGCUUAUAUGAUAGUGAAUUUCAUUUAUUUUAUUCGCAAUUGUAUGAAUUUGAGAGUAGUAACUAGCACCGAGGGGUGAGGGUUUAGCGUAUUAUAGUCCCAUAAACUAUGUACCACCGUAGGUAUUCAUUAUUCUACUUGUCCAAAUAGGCACGUACAGGUGAUCACAUUUAUACGCCUUUAUAUAGUGACAAGGUAUAUCAAGUCCUUUCUAUGAGGGAGUUAACAUCGGACUCUAUGUUACUCGCAUGGUUUAUGUCGGUUAAGAGACUCUUCUAUAGAAAUAUUAAUUUGGAAACUAAAUGUAAUGACUUACUGACCUUACUAGAUUAUAAUACCCCGUGUAUAAAAGCUACUGUACAAUGUACAAAUUAUCUUUUUAAGUCAUAUAAACAACAUAUGAGUCGUAUGUUGGAGUCGUACCUAUGGCAGUGUGGAAUAGUUGAAGUAUGUUAUAGAUACGAGUUGAUCCUAGAAGUCGUCAUGACAUGGUACGACUUUUAUAAAGUUGAGUCGUAAGGGUAACAACCUAAGUUCUCUAAGCUUUUGUCCAAGUUACUAAUGGUGGAUACAAGUCGUAUUGAGAGGUUACUAGUCAUAGGUUAGACUCGUAUGUUGACCAGUGUAUACCAUCUUUGAUCCUGCCAAGCUCACAAGUCAUGUGGCUAACUCGUAUCUUCAUCAUAUAAGUCGUAUGGUUGACUCGUCACGACUGGCGGUCAAUUUAUGUAAUGUUUAGUUAAGGGGCCUUUUGAUCUUUUCCCCUCUUAUAACCCCAACCCACGACUUAUAACCUAAAAAUGAGCGUUAUUUUCCUCUACAUUCAACCAAUUUACAACCCUUUCCUCUUUCUAUCUUCAAAAUCCUCAAGAUUAGGGUUUCUCUCACCAAGUCACCUUUCAAGUUUCAAAGUUCAAGCUCUCUUCACAAGUCAAACAAUUCCAGGUAUGUGGGGUUUAUGAAGAAGGCUAUUCUUUCAUUCUUGUGCCCUAAAAGCAUGAUUUUUAAGAGUGAAUUUACUUAUUUUGAAUUACGGUUCAUACCCAAAUAACCAUAUUCUUAAAGUAUGACAUUAUCAUGUGAUAGAAAUAUUUAAUUGUAUCAAGGUUUACAUAUAUUCAUGUCUUGACUUGUAAGAUUUAUAAUGUGAUUUGAAAUUCAUUAUAUAAACUGGGAUGUUGUUGAAAGAUUUCAAGGUGAUUAAUGAGCAUAAUAUUUUGUUAUGAAUUUCUAUGAAAUAAAGCAUGAACUCCAAGUCCUAAGUACAAGUACUGAGUUUAUAACAAGUUUAUGCUCUUAAGCUCCAUUGAUAUAUUCUAUAACAUGAUUUAAAGAAAAGCUUGAUAUUUUGAUCUAAACAUAAGACAUAAAAUCACAAGUGUUCAUCUUGAUUAUGAUUUAAAGUAAAGAGAAGCAUAACUGGUUUUUAGUUUACAAACCCACAUGCUAUUUUAAGGUGGAUUUCCUAAGUAUGAGCAUAUACAUAAUUUGGGAGUAGUAGCACUGAGAAGGAAAUGCGGAUGAGUAUAACCUAAAUUCCUAAGAACUACGAGCCUCUGUAGGUUAAGCUCUUUCCCAAUAUGGAUGAAGUAUAGUUAUCACUUAAGUUAAGGUUCUAUUCUGAUGGCAAGGGUAGAACUGCUCUCCCUAACGUGGGUAAGACGUUGGACUUCAUGAUAGCUCGCAUUGUUUAUGUCGGUUAGAAGAAUCUCCCAUAAUAAAGAAUAAGGGUAAAGAUUUCUGAACCUAAGUGUUAUGGCUCACUAAGUUUACUCUUAUGCAUCAUUAUCCAUGUUUUAUGGUCUUGCAGUCUUUAGUUUUACUCAAGUUCAAUGUGAGUCAUUUACACUUAGCAUGCAUUAUUUGAAAUCUUACAGAUAUAUUCAGUUCUUGUUUUACUUUGCAUUAACCCCCACAUACUCAGUACAUUCUAGAUGUACUGACCCACAUAUAUGUCUAUGUGCUACAUCGUCUUAUAAUGUAGUUUCUGGUGCUCAUUUUCUGCAGCACGAUUGACUACGACAUCAUUACCUACAUCCCAACUUUUGGUGAGUCCUCAUAGUCCGAGGACCCAGCUUAUUAGAAUUUUAUUCAUUGAUGCAAGUAGUUUAGUUAUUUGAUUUCAUUUAUGUUCGGGUCAGCUAGGGUAUGUCCCAGUGGCUCUCUAGUUGGGUAGUAGAUACUUGUCAGACUGUGUAUUUUCUAAGUUCAAAGAGUUGGUUAAUGUUAUCAAUGUUAAAGAUUUAUAUUAAGUUUUGGAAUUGAUUAUCUUCGGUCCAUAUUCAUAUAAGGGUCAACCAUUCAUGCGAGGUGUAAGCUGAAUAGGUAUCAUGGGUUAGCUUAGGGCUAUUCGUAGUCUUGAGCACCCUAUGACGUCUAGGGGUUACUUUCGGGACAUUACAAACUUGGUAUCAGAGCUUAAUAUUUAAAAAGUCCUAGGGAGUCAGACAAGCCGCGUUAUGUAGAUUCUUGAUCAUGAAUGUGAGGCACACCAUAUUUAUGAGCGAGAGGCUACAGAACGAGUUAGGAAUCAUCAUUUCUUUCAUAAUCUAUCGUACUCAUAGUUGUCUCUAUCUGCCUUAACUCAUGCUUUUACGUGACAGAAUAUGCCUUCUCGUCAAGCCAACAAAUGUAAAAAUAGUGAUCAACCACCCCUGCACGCAGUCCCUCUGAAUAAGAAUGUAUCUCAUGCUUAAUUUUGGGUUGCCUUUCAGGCAUUGGCCUAAGCUGUAAGUGCUAAUGUUCAGGGAAAUCACGAGGCAACAAUCCCACUUCAGCAAAAUAGUAACCUAGCUGUAUCCCGAAUUCGGGACUUUAUGAGGAUGAAUCCACUUGAGUUCCAUAGAUCAAAGAUGGAUGAGGAUCCUCAACUCUUUAUUGAUAAGGUGAGAAAUAUUACUCAGAUCAUGCAUGUUACUAAAGAGGAGAGUGUAGAGCUGGUAUCCUAUAGGCUAAAUGAUAUUGCUUAUGAUUGGGUCACUAUGUGGAAGGAUGGUUGGGGUAAGAAUGCAGCUCCUAUGAGUUGGCAGGUAUUUCAAAAUGCUUUUUUUUGACAGGUUCUUUCCUCGUAUGAUGAGAGAGGCUAAAGUAGAGGAGUUCAUAAACCUGAGCCAGGGCUCUGUGACAGUGAAUGAGUACUGCCUUAAGUUUACUCAGUUGUCUAAAUAUGCCCCAGAGUUGUUAUCUGAUUUUAGAGCUCGUAUGAGUAAGUUUGUUACUGGGGUAUCAGACUUGGUGGUCAAAGAGUGUAGGACUGCCAUGCUGAUUGGGGAUAUGGAUAUUGCUCGAUUGAUGACUCAUGCUUAACAGAUUAAGGCCUAAAAGUUAAAGAAAAAAGAGAAGAGAAACAAGAGAGCUAGGAUUGGACAAUUUGAGCAUAGUCAGCCAAGGUCCGGAGGGGGAAGCCGUUCACAAUUUCAGGGCAAUUCAUCAGUACCUGCGCUAUCUCCAUCCAGUGCCCCUACACCUAGGACUCGAUAAGAGUAGUGGGGCAGGACUUCGAAUUCUAGGUCUCAGAAUAGUGUAGUCUAGAGGCCUAGUUACCCGACAUGUGCAAAGUAUGGUGGGACCUAUCCUGGUGAGUGUUUGAUGGGCAUAGGGGGUUGCUAUGGUUGUGUCAAGUUGGGCCACAGGAUUAAGGAAUGUACAUAUGUUUUGCAGGGGAGUCUAGAUCCUUAGGCUACUAAUCCAGCAGCUCAGCCAGGCUGCCCAGUUCCCUCACAGGGCGCAUCAUCCAGUACUGGUAGCGGUCAGCACCAGAAUUGAUUCUAUGCUUUAUCAUCCCACCAGGAGCAGGAGAGUUCACCAGAUGUUAUCAUUGGUAUACUUCGUGACCAUCACCUUGAUGUAUAUGGGUUGUUAGACCCGGGAUCAAAAUUUUCUUAUGUAACUCCAUUGGUUGCUAUAAAAUUUAGGGUAGGUCAUAAGAAUUUCCUUAAGCCCUUCUCAGUUUCUACUUUAGUGGGCGAGUCAGUUAUUGUUAGACGAGUCUAUAGGGAAUGUCCUAUUGCCAUCCUCUAUAAGAUCACACUAGCGGACUUAAUAGAGUUAGAUAUAGUAGAUUUUGAUGUUAUUUUGCAGGUAUUUCAAAAUGCUUUUUUUUGACAGGUUCUUUCCUCGUAUGAUGAGAGAGGCUAAAGUAGAGGAGUUCAUAAACCUGAGCCAGGGCUCUGUGACAGUGAAUGAGUACUGCCUUAAGUUUACUCAGUUGUCUAAAUAUGCCCCAGAGUUGUUAUCUGAUUUUAGAGCUCGUAUGAGUAAGUUUGUUACUGGGGUAUCAGACUUGGUGGUCAAAGAGUGUAGGACUGCCAUGCUGAUUGGGGAUAUGGAUAUUGCUCGAUUGAUGACUCAUGCUUAACAGAUUAAGGCCUAAAAGUUAAAGAAAAAAGAGAAGAGAAACAAGAGAGCUAGGAUUGGACAAUUUGAGCAUAGUCAGCCAAGGUCCGGAGGGGGAAGCCGUUCACAAUUUCAGGGCAAUUCAUCAGUACCUGCGCUAUCUCCAUCCAGUGCCCCUACACCUAGGACUCGAUAAGAGUAGUGGGGCAGGACUUCGAAUUCUAGGUCUCAGAAUAGUGUAGUCUAGAGGCCUAGUUACCCGACAUGUGCAAAGUAUGGUGGGACCUAUCCUGGUGAGUGUUUGAUGGGCAUAGGGGGUUGCUAUGGUUGUGUCAAGUUGGGCCACAGGAUUAAGGAAUGUACAUAUGUUUUGCAGGGGAGUCUAGAUCCUUAGGCUACUAAUCCAGCAGCUCAGCCAGGCUGCCCAGUUCCCUCACAGGGCGCAUCAUCCAGUACUGGUAGCGGUCAGCACCAGAAUUGAUUCUAUGCUUUAUCAUCCCACCAGGAGCAGGAGAGUUCACCAGAUGUUAUCAUUGGUAUACUUCGUGACCAUCACCUUGAUGUAUAUGGGUUGUUAGACCCGGGAUCAAAAUUUUCUUAUGUAACUCCAUUGGUUGCUAUAAAAUUUAGGGUAGGUCAUAAGAAUUUCCUUAAGCCCUUCUCAGUUUCUACUUUAGUGGGCGAGUCAGUUAUUGUUAGACGAGUCUAUAGGGAAUGUCCUAUUGCCAUCCUCUAUAAGAUCACACUAGCGGACUUAAUAGAGUUAGAUAUAGUAGAUUUUGAUGUUAUUUUGGGCAUGGAUUGACUCCAUUCAUGCUAUGCAUCAAUAGAUUAUUGCACCAGCAUAGUGAAGUUUUAAUUUUUUGGUGAGACAGUUUUUGAGUGGGAGGGUAGUUCUAUGUCUCCCAAAGGUCAUUUCAUCUCUUAUCUUAAGGCCAGGAAGUUAAUAUCAAAAAGGUGUAUUUAUCAUCUAGUUUAAGUCAAAGAUACCAAGUCUGAAGUCCCGACAGUUCAAUCAGUUCGGGUAGUAAAUGAGUUUCCAGAAGUUUUUCUUAAAGAUCUGCUAGGGGUACCUUCUGACAGAGAAAUAAAGUUCGGUAUUGAUCUUCUUCUUAAUACUCAACCCAUCUCUAUCCCUCCUUAUCGUAUGGCUCUGGAUAAACUUAUAGAGUUAAAGAAGCAGCUUAAGGACCUCUUAAAUAAAGGUUUCAUCAAACCAAAUGUUUAUCUGUGGGGUAUUACAAUCCUUUUUGUGCGCAAGAAAGAUGGCACUCUCCGAAUGUGUAUAGAUUAUAGACAACUAAACAAGGUUUCUAUUAAGAACAAGUAUCCUAUUCCUAAGAUCGACGAUUUAUUCGAUCAACUUCAGGUGCCCGGUGGUUUCCAAGAUUCAGAUUAGGUUGGGAUACCAUCAGUUGAAAGUUAGGGAGCAAGAUAUUUUGAAACAACUUUCGAACAAGGUACUAACUUUUUGAGUUUGUGGUUAUGUUGUUUGGACUGAUAAAUUCUCCUGCAACCUUUAUGAAUUUGAUAAAUAGGGUCUUCAAGCAAUAUUUAGAUAUGUUUGUCAUUGUCCUUAUAGAUGACAUACUGGUGUAUUCCUGGAGUGUGGAGGAACAUGUCGACCAUUUAAGAAUAGUGUUGCAGACCCUCGAAGAUCGUCAAUUGUAUAGGACGUUUGGUAAAUGUGAAUUUGGUUGGAAUCUAUUACUUUCUUGGGUCAUGUCAUUUCAGGGGCUGGUAUUCAUGUAGAUCCUCAGAAGACUAAUGUAGUGAAGCACUGGCCUAGACCUAUCACUCCAUUCGAUAUCAGGAGCUUUUUGGGUUUGGCUGGGUAUUAUAGAAGAUUUGUGGAAGAGUUUUCCUCUAUAACCGCACCAUUGACUAAGCUGACCCAAAAGAAAGUAAAGUUUAUAUAGUCAGAUAAAUAUGAGAAGAGUUUCCAAGAGUUGAAGGAUAGAUUGACUUCGGCUCCAGUUUUAGCUUUACUGGAGGGGUUAGAAGGAUUUGUAGUGUAUUGUGAUACUUAUAGAGUUGGGUUAGGUUGUGUGUUGAUACAGAAUGGGAGAGUGAUAGCCUAUGCCUCCAAGCAACUUAAGGAUCACGAAAAAAAUUACCCAACUCACGACUUGGAGUUAGCUGUCGUGGUUUUUGCCUUAACUGGAGGCACUACUUCUAUGGUGUGCACGUUGAUAUUUUUACUGACCGUAAAAGUCUUCAGUAUGUAUUUUCUUAGCAGGAGCUAAAUCUUUGUUAGAUAAGGUGGUUGAAGUUGUUGAAAGAUUAUGACAUGAUGCGCUCUAUCAUCCGAGCAAGGCCAACGUGGUGGCAAACGCACUGAGUAGGCUGUCUAUGGGUAGUGUGUCACAUGUGAAAGAGAAAAAAUGGGAACUGACCAAAUAGGUGCAUAGAUUAGCCCAUUCGGGAGUAUGUUUGUUCGACACCGAUGAUAGGAGAGUAGUAUUUCAGAAUGGUUCAGAAUUAUCUUUGGUAGUGAAAGUGAAAAAGAAGCAACGAAACGAUCCCAUACUUAGCCAAAUAUCGAAAGCAGUCCAGCAACAGAAGGUUGAGGUUUUCUCCCAAAGGGGAGAUGGUGUACUUCGUUAUGAAGGUAGGCUUUGUAUUCUGAAUGUAGAUGGGUUAAGGGAAAGGAUACUAGCCGAGGGCCAUGGUUCGAGGUAUUCCAUUCAUCUGGGUGCUACUAAGAUGUACCACAACUUAUAAAAAAAUUAUUGAUGGAGCGAUAUUAAGAGAGACAACAGAUUUUAUGGACAAGUGCCAAAAUACCAACAAGUUAAAGUUGAACACCAGAGAUUGGGUGGUACGCUACAGGAGACUACUUGGAAGUAGGAAAUAGUGAAUAUGGAUUUCAUCACAGGGUUGCCUUGUACCAAACAUCAGCAUGAUUCGAUUUGGGUCAUAGUAGAUUGAAUGACUAAAUCAACCCAUUUCCUACCUGCCAAAACUUUAGAUACAACAAAAGAUUAUGCCAAAAUAUAUAUUCGCGAGUUAGUAAGGCUUCAUGGGAUACCCUUGUCCAUUAUUUCAGAUAGAGGCACGUAGUUCACUUUACAGUUUUGGCAGUCUUUUCAGAAGGACCUUGGUACAAAGGUUAAGCUUAGUACUGCAUUUCAUCCGCAGACCGAUGGUCAGGCUGAACGUACAAUUAUGAUAUUAGAAAACAUGCUGAGGGCAUGUGUUUUCGACUUUAAAGAAAGUUGGGAUGACCACCUAUCUUUGAUUGAGUUUGCCUAUAAUAAUAGUUAUCAUGUUAACAUUCAGAUGACUCAAUUUAAAAGGUUAUAUGGGUGUAGAUACAGAUCACUAAUAAGGAGGUUUAAGGUGGGUGAAAUAGCUUUGAUUGGGCUGGACUUUGUUCUUAAAGUUAUGGAAAAGGUUUAGUUGAUUCAUGAAAGAUUGAAGACUGCUCAGAGUUGUCAGAAGUCAUAUGCAGAUGUAAGGAGGAGAGAACUCAAGUUUGAAGUAGGGGAUUGGGUAUUCUUGAAAGUGUUACCUAUGAAGGAAAUAAUGAGAUUGGAAAGAAACGGAAGCUGAGUCCCCAAUUUGUUGAUCCGUAUGAGGUAGUGAAGUGUGUCGGAGAAGUUGCUUACAAAUUGGACCUUCCAUCAGAGUUAGUUUUGAUUCACCUAGUGUUCCAUGUUUCAAUGCUUAGGAAGUGCAUUGGAGAUCCGUCCCUAGUAAUUCCCCUAGAGAGUAUUGGGGUCAAAAAUAACUUGUCGUAUGAGGAGAUUCCUGUGGAGAUUCUUGAUAGACAGGUCCAAAGGCUAAGGAAUAAAGAGGUAGCGUCAGUGAAAGUUCUUUGGAGAAAUCAAUUGGUUGAAGGGGCCACCUGGGAGUCUGAAGUAGACACGAUGACCAAGUAUACUUAUCUCUUUUCUUCCAAAACUCUUUCUCUUUAAGUCUAUUUAAGUAUUCUUAAGUCAUAUCUUAUGUGGUAAGUAAUUGGAUCCUUGUAAUAGAUAUAAGUUUGGCUAUAAGUUUGAUGUAGAGGUGUUGAUUCCUUUCUAAAUCCUAGAUGAAUCACAUUCGAGGACGCAUGUUUCCAAAGGGGAGAUAUUGUAAUACCGCAUGUCUAAAAGCUAUUGCUCAACGUAUGACUUAUCUCCUUAAGUCGUAUAAACAACAUACGAGUGAUAUGUUAGUGUCGUACCUAUGGCAGUGUGAAAUAGUUGAAGUCUGUUAUAGUUAUAAGUUGAUCCUAGAAGUAGUCAAGACAUGGUACGAGUCUUAUGAAGUUGAGUCGUAAGGGUAACAACGUAGGUUCUCUAAGUUUCUGUCCAAGUUACGAGUGGGGGGCUACAAGUCGUAUUGAGUGGCUACUAGUCAUAGGUUAGACUCGUAUGUUGACUAGUGUAUACCAUAUUUGAUCCUGCCAAGCUUAAGAGUCAUGAGGCUAAGUCGUAUCUCAACCAUACAAGUCGUAUGGUUGACUCGUUAGGACUGAUGGUCAAUUUCUGUAAUGUUUAUUUAAGGGACCUUUUGGUCUUUUUCCCUUUUAUAACUCCCAACCCAUGACUUAUAACCUAAAAAAGAGCAUUAUUUUCCUCUACUUUCAGUCAAUUAACAAUAUUUUCCUCCUCCCAUCUUUAAAAUCAUCAAGAUUAGGGUUUCUUUCACCAAGUCAUCUUUCAAGUCUCAAAGUCUAAGCUCUCUUCACAAGUCAAGCAAUUCCAGGUAUGUGGGGAUUAUGAACAAGGUUAUGCUUUCAUACUUGUAUCCCAAAAACAUAAUUUUUAAGAGUGAAUUUACUUAUUUUAAAUUAGGGUUCAUACCCAAAUAACCAUAUUCUUGAAAUAUGACAUUACCAUGUGAUAGAAAGCUUUAAGUGUAUUAAGGUUUACAUAUAUUCAUAUCUUGACUUGUAAGAUUUAUAAUGUAAUUUAAAAUUUGUUAUCUUGACUAGGAUUUUGUUGAAAGAUUUCAAGGUGAUUAAUGAGCAUAAUAUUUUGUUAUGAAUUUCUAUGAAAUGAAGCAUGAAAUCCAAGUCUUAAGUAGAGAUACUGAGUUUACAAGAAGUUUAUGCUCGUAAGCUCCAUUGAUACAUUCUAUAACAUGAUUUAAAGAAAAGCUUGAUAUUUUGAUCUAAAGAUAAGAUGUGAAAUCCACAAGUGUUCAUCUUGAUUAUGAUUUAAAGUAAAGAGAAGCAUAACUGAUUUUUAGUUUACAAACCCACAUGCUAUUUUAAAGUGGAUUUUCUAAGUAUGAGCAUAUACAUAAUUUGGGAGUAGUAGCACCGAGAAGGAAAUGCGGAUGAGCAUAUCCUAAAUUCCUUAAAACUAUGAGCCCCCGUAGGUUAAGCUUUUUCCCAAUAUGGAUGAAGUAUAGUGACCACUUAAGUUAAGUAUCUAUUCCGAUGGCAAGGGUAAAACAGCUCUCCCGAACCUGGGUAAGACGUUGGACUUCAUGAUAGCUCACAUGGUUUAUGCUGGUUAGAAUAAUCUCCUAUAAGAAAGAAUAAGGGUAAAGAUUUCUGAACCUAAGUGUUAUGGCUCACUAAUUUUACUCUUAUGCAUCAUUAUCCAUGCUUUAUGAUCUUGCAGUCUUUAGUUUUACUCAAGUUCGAGUCAUUUACGCUUAGCAUGCAUUAUUUGAAAGUGAACAUAUAUAUUCAGUUCUGGUUUUACUUUGCAUUCACCUCCACAUACUCAGUAUAUUCCAGAGGUACUGGCCCAUAUAUAUGUCUAUGUGCUACAUUGUCUUAUAAUGUAGGUUCUGGUGCCCGUUUUCAGCAACACGAUUGACUACGAGCAUCAUCACCUACAUCCCGACUUUUAAUGAGUCCUCAUAGUCUGAGGACCCAGCUUAUCAGACUUCUAUUCAUUGAUGCAAGUAUUUUAGUUAUUUGAUUUUUCUUUAUGUUCAGGUCAGCUGGGGUCGGUCCCAGUGGCUCUCUAGUUGAUAGUAGAGGUUUGUCAGACUGUGUAUUUUCUAAGUUCAAAGAGUUUGUUUAAGGUUUUCAAAGUAAAAGAUUUAUAUUAAGUUGUGAAAUUAAUUAUCUUCAGUCUAUAUUCAUAUAAGGGUUCACCGUUCGUGCGAGUUGUAACCUGAAUAGAUAUCAUCGGUUAGCUUAGGGCUAUUCGUAGUCUUGAGUACCGUGUGACGUUUAGGAGGUACUUCUGGGGCGUUACAUAGAUUUUGCUUUAUGCUUUAUAUAUUUCAGCUUUCAAUUUUAUUUAUGAAUAUGAUGAGUCUGUAUACACUUAGCAUGCAUAUUUUAAGCUUAAUAUAUAUAUAUAUAUAUAUAUAUAUAUCAGUUUUUACUUAUUGCAUUAACUUUCAUAUACUCAAUACAUUUCAUAAGUACCGAUCACAUAUACGUCUUUAUGGCUACAUUAUUUCAUAAUGUAGGUAGCAAUUCUAGCUCACAAACUCAUGAUCAAGCAGUUCGCAGCUUUCAACCAGCACGUGACGAGUUAUUUUCAUUCGAGGACUCAAGUCUGAUAUAGUCCUAGUAUUUUAUUUUGGUUUAGUUGUAUUGAUUUGAGAUAGUUAGGUGUCAUGUCCGAACUACCUAAUUAUAGUCAAUAUUAGUAGAGACUUCAUAUACAACCAGUCGAAGUUGACGUAUUCAGUUUCAGUUUCAGUUUCUUUUUCUUUAAUUAGUGUUGAACACAUUUAACUAAUGAUCUUAGUAUUUCAGUUUCAUGUAUUUUUAUUCAGUUGCUCAUGAAUUUUAUCAGUAUCAUGGGUUAGCUUGGAAUCACUUGUGGUUCUAAACAUCAUGUGACGUCCAGGGAUAGUCUCGGAGCAUAACGUUAUGCCAUGUAAUUUUUUCACCAAAAAAAUGAAAUUAAAACACGUUUUUAAAGGGUUGCAAAAACAAAUCUCUCUUUAAGUUGUUUUCUAGCGAGGUACAUAUUAAUAGAGCAUAAAACUUAAAAAAUAAAUAAACUGUAAGUGACCUAAAAAGCAAGUAUCCCCUCAUAUAUUAGCAAGUCAUUAAAAAUUAAAGUGUUCUUAUUGGUUUGCUCUUAUGAAUUUUUUCUACUUCUUCAAUUUUUUUUUAUUUGAUGAAAAAAGUAAAUUGAUUUAAAUUGUUAUUGAUGUUUUGUUUUUUAUUAUUAAGACCAAUUCUAGUACUUAGAUUAACUAUUGCAAUUCUUAAUUUACUCAUGCGUCAAUAUGACCACCUUUCAUCUAAUAAUAGGAUAAAACAGCUAACUUUUCAAUCAAACCUUUUUCAUAAAUACAAAUUAUUAUAGCAUAAAAAACUUUAAACCGAAUUUGAAAAGGUUAAAUUCCAAAUACGAAUCCAAUUAGAAUUAGGAUUAGGUUCAGUUCAGCCCUUCUAUAUAUUUCUAUCCAUUAUAUCAACUUCCUAAUGUACCUUAUUAAUUCCCCCACUUUGUGCUGCCUUCUUCAUAAAUCACAAAUAUACAUACAUGGUUGCCUCAACAAAAUUAGCAGUCGUCUUGGUGAUUCUCUCUCUGUUUUGCAUCGGCGCACACGCUUCGAAAGGAUGCCCGUUUAGAGCCUUGUACCAGCUACAUUGGAAUUCAAUCUCAAUUGAUCAUCGUCAACAACUUUCAAUUCAUGUCAACAACAAUAAUACGCGGAUAAUAAUUGGAGAAAUACCUCAUGAUAUCGACUUUUUUGCUCGGCAUGAUCAAUGGCUCAAAAAUCAAGAUAUCACGAUGCAUAAAGAGAAAAGUACCGAUCGUAGCGCCUUAAUUAUUUGAUCAACAUCAAUGGCUCAAAAAUCAUGUUAGAAUUAUGCAGAAAAAGAUGUAAUUAAAUAAACUACAAGAUCUUUUAUAGCAGACACAUUUUAGAAGAUGCUGGUCUAAGUCGUUCUAGUUGUGAAAAUAGAAUCAUAUUACUUAUUAGUUUAUCUGUAUAUGUUUUCUUAGUUUUGUUAUCAGCUUGUACAGAUUCGUUUAUAUGAAAUAAUUUCUAUUUAUUGAAAAAACUAUGAGAAAUAAUUCAAAUUUAUCCAUAAAUCGUACGUUAAUGGUACACAGUUUAGACUGCAACUUUGAACCAUUUCACAUAUAUAAUUCAGAACAAAUUUGGACCUUUACCAUGUGUUAAGAAUUCGUGCCCUACUGAUUAUCUUAUUUUCGCCUAACUGUUGCUUAUCGAUGGAAUGGGUUGCCUGAUGUGUUCCACUGACGUGUUCCAAGGAAGUAGUAAAACAGAAAGUAAAGAACACAAUGAUUUUUACGUAGAAAACACCCGGCUCAAAAAGGUGUAAAAAACCACGACCUGUACCUCUACAGGAUUUAACUCCAACUUCACUAAAUAACUCUGAGCCUCAACAAUGAUUACAAAACUCUUGUAACCAACAAAUAGGAAUUAUAAACUCUAAUCCCUAUAACUCAACAACUAGGAAUUAUAAACUCUAAUUCCUUUGACUCAACAACUAUGAAUUAUAAACUCUAAUUCCUAACUAUACACACACCUCCCAAGCUAUGCUUUCCCAAAAUCUCGGAGUUUUCCCCAACUCGAAGACUAGCUCCUAAUUCAGUUUAUAACACACUGAAACUAAUAUUAGAUCAAUAGUUCAAACAUAAUGAACAACUCUAAAAAUCAAUGCUAAAACUCUUAGCUGGAUUCUAUACUUAGGACCAGGUUCUUCAAUGUGUUUCUUCAAUGAUUGAGUAGCACUUCGUGAAGUCAAUCUGUCGAUUGUGGUUUUCUGCUUUGUAAGUGCGUGAGUUACUCUGAAUGAUACAUUUUCUAUUUAAACACAGCUCUCCAAAGAGUUAUUCUUUAUUUCAAACUCCUCCUUUAAUCAGAACUCUCAUUACAUAGAGUUCUACUUCAAGUGAGACUCCUUCUUCAAUUCUAACUCUUGUCUCCUUAGUGUUGUAGUAAAACUUUAACUCUUUAAAUCAACUUAUCUUCAAGUAUUUUACUCAACCACAACUUCUUCAAUUUUUCACGUGAUUAGUAGCUUGAGUAUGUCAAAAUCAGGCUUGCUCAUUCGUUAUAGACUUUCAGCAAUCUUUGUUUGCAUCUAUCAGUAAAACCUGAAACCUGUCUUCCUAUGCUUGGACCAUGUCAAGUAACAUGGUCCAUUCAUGUGCCAGUCAUCAAAAACUUCAUUGAUCUAAUAAAGAGUCUUUCAAUUUAUAUUUUUCCUAUCUUGCGUAGACGUCUUCAAUCUGCAGAAUCUUUCUCUUUCUACACAUAGGACUCUUCAGGAUAUGCUCAGAAGUGAAAUUCCUUCUUUCCAUAGGACUCUUUUUUCAACUCAACUUGCUUUCCCUUAUCGUCAAGUGUUUGAAUCAAAUUCAACUUCUUCAAAUUUGCAUAUAUUUAUUUCCUUGAGUUUAUCAGAAUUAACCACUCAUCUGGUUCUUGAUUUAUUUCACGCUUGUCUUUAAUCAUCGAUGAUUUUGCUAUAAGUUUCAGCUACAUGAGACGGUGUGUCUGUGAACCAAGUUGACUGAUAUGUUUCAUAUCACGUUGUCAGAUUAUCAAUCAUCAAAACUACAUCGUAUCCAACACCAUGCCGUAGUAAUAAAAAAACUAAGAAAAUUUUUUAAACAAACGAAAUAGGGGAAAAGAGAGACAAUUAGGAAUGGGAUUCACCAUGAAGGGUUUAUUUAAUGGGAAACAAAUUAUAUCUGAGUUAGUUAUCCCCUAAUUAUUAUCUUGUGAUUCUUUAUUUUGGGAUUGUUAUUUCACCUUGAAGUUGAGAUAAAAAUAACACUACAAUCUCAGGAUAAGUUAUUCCACGAUUUUAUCUCAAUCAAACAUGAAAUAAACUCAUCCUAAGAUUAAUCUAGUUAUCCCUUGUUCCUCCUACCAAAUGAGUUCUAAAGAUUGUGGUGGAGUUGUAACUUGUAAGUACUUGUUUUUUCUUAAAUAGAUGUCUCAUAUUUGAGCCCUAAACAUAAAAGCGAGCUUUACUCUAUUUCUAACACAAAUUUAAAAUAAUCAAACCUCAAAACGUCCUAUCCGAUCUGGAUAGGAGAAAAAAAGAGUAGGAACGGGAUUCACAUGGGUAGACAAUACUCCUUCCAUUUCAUUUUAUAUGAUACACUUUUUCUUUUUAGUCGUUCACAAAAAGAAUGUCACAUUUAUUUAUUUGGUAACUAUUUAAAGACAAAAUUUCUCUUUUAUCCUUAUUGAUCUCACUUAAUUUUACUCCUUUUUUUAAAAACUUUUUUUAAAAGAAUAAUUUAAUAAAGGCAUAAUACAUAAAUAUGACCCUAAACUUGACACCAAAUUAUAACUUUGACCUUAAACUUUGAUAGUGCACAAAUAGGACCUUUAACUAUUCAAAACCUGAACAAAUAUGACCUUCGAUUUUGCAACCCCAUGCGUGAGUUUCACUCGCGCCUACGUGGAAAAUUAAUCCCAUCACACGGUGCCACGUCGUUAAAAGGGCUGACUUGGAGGGAGGUCAUAUUUGUACAGUUUUGAAUAGUUAAAGGUUAUAUUUGUGCACUGUCAAAGUUUUGCUUUUUGUGUUAAAAAGGGUCAUUUUUAUUAUUACUAUUAUAAUUUUUUUUAUUUCUAUAGCAGCAACACCUAGAUUUUUUUUUAUUAAAAAAAAUAUUUGUGCACUGUCAAAUCUUUACUUUUUGUGUUAAAACGGGUGUUUUUUAUUAUUAUUAUAAUUUUUUUUUAUUUCUAUAGCAGCAACACCUAGUUUUUUUUAUUAAAAAAAAAGCCACUAGCAGGGAUCGAACCCACGCAGUAGGCUGAAGGAAGCACCCAAGAAGAGCAAAUAACACCACUGAGCUAUUUAAGUACCUUGUUUCAUGUGGUUCAACAUUAAUAUACGUACAUAAAUAUAGAUUUUCUACCUUAUAUAUAUAACGUAAUUUUUUUACAGAGGGGGUUUGGGUAAACCCCAUAGCAACCACGUAGGUCCGCCCCUGCGUUAAUUUAAUAACAUUUUGAUAAUGUUAUAUUUUAAUAACGUUAAUUUGAUAACAUUAAUUUAAGGCAAUAAUACAUAAACAUGACCCUAAACUUAACACCAAAUUAUAACUUUGACCUUAAACUUUGAUAGUGCACAAAUAGGACCUUUAACCAUUCAAAAUCUGAACAAAUAUGACCUCCGACUUUGCAACACCAUGUGUGAGUUUCACUCGCGCCUACGUGGAAAGGUAAUCCAAUCACAUGGUGCCACACCGUUAAAAGAGCUAACUUGGAGAGAGGUCAUAUUUGAGCAAUUUUGAAUAGUUAAAGGUCAUAUUUGUGCACUGUCAAAGUUUUGCUUUUUGUGUUGAAAUGACAUUGUUAUUAUUAUUAUUAUUAUUAUUAUUUUUUUUUUAUUUCUAUAGCAGCAGCAUCUAGCUUUUUUUUAAUUAAAAAAAACAGCCACUAACAUUGUUAUUAUUANNNNNNNNNNNNNNNNNNNNNNNNNNNAGUAGGCUGAAGAAAGCGCCCAAGAAGAGCAAAUAACACCACUGGACUAUCUAAGUGCCUUGUUUCAUGUGGUUCAACAUUAAUAUACGUACAUAAAUAUAGAUUUUCUACCUUAUAUAUAGCAUGUAAUUUUUUUACCGAGGGGGUUCGGGAGAACUCCAUGGCAACCACGUAGGUCCGCCUUUGCAUUAAGUUAAUAACAUUUUAAUAACGUUAAUUUGAUAAGGUUAAUUUAAUAUACUACUACUAUCCUUAAUAACGUUAAUUUAAUAACGUUUUAUUAGAACUAUAAUUUUUUUAUUAUUAGUAUAGUUUCAUCUUUAAUUUAAUAUUUAAAUAAAUUAUAUUUAGAUAUAUUAUAUAACUUAAAUUCACCCUCUUCUUUAUAAUAUAUAUACAUACCCGGGCGAUUUUUUCGUAUGAGACUGACCCACCUAAUUAAUAAAUCUUCAAUAUUGCUCUUUUCCGCAAUGACAAAAGAAAUUAGAUGCCAUUUUCAUCUUUGAGCCGAAAAUAAUGAAAAAAUAAUAGUAAAAAGUCAUUUAAAGGUCAUAUUUGUGCACUGUUAAAGUUUAAGGUCAAAGUUAUAAUUUGGUGUCAAGUUUAGGGUCAUCUUUAUGUACUAUGCCCAUAGAUUUUAAGCUGGACACGCCCAGUUUUGUGUGUUGAACAUGCGUUUUGCCUCGUAGGAUCGGAGGUCAUAUUUGUUCAGUUUUGAAUAGUUAAAGGUCAUAUUUGUGCACUAUCAAAAUUUAAGGUCAAAGUUAUAAUUUGGUGUCAAGUUUAGGGUUAUAUUUACGUAUUAUGCCUUAAUUUAAUAUACUACUAUCCUUAAUAAUGUUAAUUUAAUAAUGUUUUAUUAAAUCUAUAAUUUUUUCUAUUAUUAGUAUAGUUUCAUCUUUAAUUUAAUAUUUAAAGAAAUAAUAUUUAGAUAUAUUAUAUAACUUAAACUCGUCCUCUUCUUUAUAAUAUAUAUACAUACCCGCUCGAUUUUUUCGUAUGAGGCUGACCCGCCUAAUUAAUAAAUCUUCAAUAUUGCUUUUUUUUUUUUCGCAAUGACAAAAGAAAUUAGAUGCCAUUUUCAUCUUUGAACCGAAAAUAAUGAAAAAAUAAUAGUGAAAAGUCAUUUAAAGGUCAUAUUUGUGCAAUUUUAAAUAGUUAAAGGUCAUAUUUGUAUACUGUCAAAGUUUAAGGUCAAAGUUAUAAUUUGGUGUCAAGUUUAGGGUCAUAUUUAUAUAUUAUACCCUUAGAUUUUAAGCUGGACGCGCCCAAUUUCACGUAUUGAACACGCGUUUUGCCACGUAGGAUCGGAGGUCAUAUUUGUGCAGUUUUGAAUAGUUAAAGGUCAUAUUUGUGCACUGUCAAAGUUUAAGAUCAAAGUUAUAAUUUGAUGUUAAGUUUAGGGUCAUAUUUACGUAUUACGCCUUUAAUAAAAUUCACAAAAUCUUUACUUAUUUCUUAAAUUCUAUACCCAGUCAAAAAGUAACACAUAAAUUGAAACUUAGGGAACAAUAAAGAAAGGAAAAAUUUUAAAAGUAGCAACUUAACAACUAUACAAUUAAGAAAAAUAGCAAGUUGUAUUUUGUAUUUAAGUAAAAUGUUGCUAUAUAAAUACAUAUACAAAUUGAAUAUAGUUCUUAUUUUAAUUUUCAUCAGUUAGAGUUAAAUAAGGGAAGUAACCGUCUCUUAAUUCAGCUACUUUUAAUUAUAAAGAUUCCUUUUCCUUAUAUUACUCUUCCACUUCUUUUUUUUUUUUAAAUCCUUUUUCGUUUUUUUUUAAUUUUUCAUUUUCUUAUUUUUUACUUUCUCAUAUUUUUCUUUUUCUUUUCCUAUUUUCGUUUAUUUUUUUAUCGUUUUACUUUUUUAUUUUGAUUUUUUUUUUACACUCUUCUAUUUCUCUUCUUUUUUAUUUUUUUAUUUUUUCUUUAUUUUUUUUCUAUCCCGUUUUCUUAUUUUUUUUUCCUUUCUCAUAUUUUCCUUUUUCUUUUCCUAUUUUCGUUUUCUUCUUCUUUAUUCUAUUUUUCUAUUUUUAUUUAUUUUGUAUUUAAGUAAAAUGUUGCUAUAUAAAUACAUAUACAAAUUGAAUUGUGGUUCCUAUUUUAAUCCCCAUCAAUUAGAGUAAAAUAACAGAAGUAACCGUCCCUUAAUUCAUGCUAUUUUUAAUUAUAAAGAUUACUUUUCCUUAUACGACUCUUCUAUUUCCUUUUUUUCUAUCCUUUUUUCGUUUUUCUCUUUUUCUCUUUUUUUCUUUUUUUGUUUUCUUAUUUUUUCCUUUCUCAUAUUUUUCUUUUUCUUUUCCUAUUUUCGUUUCUUUUUUUAUCAUUUUAUUUUUUAAUUUGAUUUUUUUUAUUUCCACUUUAUUUUCUCUCUUCUAUUUCUCUUUUAUUUUUUUUAUCCUUUUUCAUUUUUUUCUUUUCCAGUUUCUUAUUUUUUUCCUUUCUCAUAUUUUUCUUUUUUCUUUUUUCUUUUCCUAUUUUCGUUUUCUUCUUCUUUUUUCUAUUUUUGUUUUUUUUUUUAAUUUACUUUUCUUUUUUUUUUUUACACUUAUAUUUUUAGCUUUUAUUUCUCUCUUUUUUUUUUUUCGUUUUUCACUUCUUUUUCUUUGGAAUUUUCUUUUUAUUUUUUUUUCAUUUUUUUACUCUUCUAUGUCUUGCUUAUUUUUAAAAAACACAUGUCUAUAUCACAUAUACAUAUUCAAAAAAUAUAUAACUAGACAUACAGAUCUGUGUAUGUAUUUAUAGUACAAAACAUACAUAUAUAUCUGCAUAUAUUUUUACAGAAAUACAUAUCUGACUCAUAUGUAUUUAUAAACAUAUAGGACACAAAAUCUCUAUAACAAAAAGUGACAUAAUACAUUUGUCUAAUUGAACUUGAAUUACACAUUUCUUCUUCAUGAUGUAGACAUCAAAAAUAUUAUUAUGAUGAAAAAUCUUAUACUGCUCCUUUGAUAACAUUGCCUUAAUAUGUUCUUCAAUAUCGUUGACCGUGUAACAUCCUAUAUGUGGUGCAAAUUUUGAAAGUACUUUUUCCAUGAAUAUUUGAUCACGUGGUAACUAUAGACCGAAAAAUGACAUAAAUCUAUAUUACAUGUACUUCUCACAAAAAAAAAUAUAAAAUACAUAAUAUGCAUAUGUUUUCUAUUACAUCAUACAUAUUACAUUACAACAAAUACAUAUAUCCCUGCAUAUGUAUUUUCAGAAUACAUGUCCGGUACAAAGUGUAUAUUAUCAUAUAAAACAUACAUAUAUAAACUCAUAUGUAUUUACAAAAUACAUACCAUAGUCAUAUUAAACAAAAUAUACAAAUGCAUAUCUUAAAACAAUAUAAAACAACUAUACUAUUUAUCUUGAUAUGUAUUUAUCUUAAUUGUAUGUUAUACGUUAUAGUUACAUUUGUAAUUGUAUGUUAUGUUGUAGUUGCAUUUGUAUAUUUAAUAAAUGUAAUUAUAUUUUAUUUUGGCAUUUGUAUUUCAAGAAAUACUCCAACAGAACUAAUCAGAGUGUACAGGUAUGACUGUAUGCCAAAAUACAUUUAUUAUUUUAUAUACAUUUGUAAUUACUGUUUAUUAUUACUUAUAUGUAUAUAUGUGUUUGACUCCAGUAAAAAAUAUAUUUUCAAAUGUAUUAUGUAAGAUAUAUGUAUAGUUGUGCAUAAAAUACUUAUACAAACAUAAAAGAGCUGAAAACUACAUAUAAUGACCUGUAAAUGCAUAUGCAGAACUGAAAAAUACAUAUGUAGAAUAAAAAAAAUACUAAUGUCCAACUGAAUUUGAGUUUUCUAACUAAUUUUCUUUGAAAAAUUUAAGGUUGUACAAGUCACAAAAUAUGUCUAUACGGUACAUGACAAAGAGAAGCAUUUUAUUGUUUGUCUCGAGAAAUUUUUUUUGUCAGAUAUUUCAAUUGGACGAGAUACUAUGUAUACAUGCUUGUGCAGUCCUUGAUAGCAAGAACCAUUUUAAAUUUGCUACAGAAAACAUCAAUGAUUUUCUUGAAUUUUAAAUUUGAUAAAAUUCAUUUCUUUGUUGAUAGUGAUAUAGUGGCAUAGUAUUUGACAAUUAUGUUAUGUUAUUGUAUUUUGGAGAUUCAUACUAUAUUGAAUUGAAUGGAAGAUUUUGACUUUAAUUUUAUUGUAAGAACCCGCAAAAUUCCUAGCUUAAGUCAGUGCUUUAAGCUUGUUAAGGGGGCCCAGACUUACAAAAUUCUAGCUAAGUAUUCAGACUUAGUUUAUUUUAGGCCUUUGAAAGUUAAAAAUCUCAUUUCGCGACCUUAAAGUCCUUUUAAUGUCUAUAUUUUAGUUAAUUCAUGAUCAGGAAGGUCAAUAGGUAUUUCCACACAAUUUUUGGAUUUUUCAAACUUCGUUUGAAGCUCCUUUGGAAUACCAAAAUAGUGUACCAAUGAGAUUUUGGCGUGCUGCGUGGCCUAUCGCGUUGCUUCAUAUUUUCCCCAGCUACCAGCAUCAAAUUCAAGUGAGUCGACGCGAUCUUGACGUGAAACAUUGGUUAUCACAUCGGUGCCAUCGACGCGUCGUGUCGACCUGCGUGUCGGCAAUCCAAUUUUCACUCAUUUAAAACCCACGUCUCAAGGGGUAAUUGGGUCUUUUUCCUACGCCCUUUAGUCCCCAUAUCAUAAAAUUUAGCUCUUUAGAGGCAUAAUACAAUCAUUAUUCAUAAAAUCCUCAAAAACAAAACCCUAGGGCUAUCAAUCCAAAAAUCAAAUUCAAGAGAUUUCCACCAUUAAUUUCCACAAAUUCUUCAACAAGGUAUAUAAAGUGUUCAUCCAAGGAUCCCUUCUACCCUUGGAGUUCAAGAAACUUCUUUUAAAAACAUAAAUUGUGAUUUUCAUGUUGUGGGUUUGAAUGUAAUCAUGUUGAUGUUGUGGAAUGCGUUCCAAGUUGAAAUCUUUAUGUGUUUCUUGAUAUUAUGAUAACAUGUAAGUUGAAUUUUGAUUCUCGUAUAUUGAAACCCUUGAAUUAUGAAGUCAUGAUGUAUUAGAAUUGUUGUUCAUGCCUAAGUAUAAAGCUAUACCUUGUAUGUGUUUGAUGGAAUGCUCGUGAGAUUGGUUUAAUAAAAUUAUGAUGUGUUAGUAUGCAUUCCUAUUCAUGUGCAAGUUCAUGACUUUCAAGUGAUUGAUGAAAUGCCUCAUAGAUCGUAUUAUGAGUUGUUGACUAUUAUCAAGUAUUCAAGAAUUGUCAUGCCUUAUUAUUUUCAUGCUAUCGAGUCCUGGGGGUAUUUAAUACCCAAUAAUUUAGCUGUGUGCCUAGAUCCAGUAUUAGUUACAGAACAAUCUCAAUUAUGUCACCAUCAGUAGUACUCUAGUUCAGUUACAGAACUAAAAAAAAAUCAGGAUCAAUCAAGUUCCAUUCAGUAUUCAGUUUAAUCCUCAGUAAACUCAGUCAGAUAACAGAACUCUAGUAUUCCGUCAGUCAAUGGAACUCAGUAAACUCCAAUCAGUUCAGUUAAUCAGUACAAUCAGUAACAAAUCAGUUCAGCCUAGUAUGAACUAGAAAAUCAGUUCAGUGUCUAUUCAGUUGGGAGUAGGAUUCAUCACCGAGUGAACCCAAGGAUGGGGACUCACCUUCUAACAGAGGGUGUGAUCCUUAAAAGCAGUCCUUGCAUUCCAGAACUACGUAGCCAGCAUAGGUUGAGAUAUCAAAUCCUGCUAGUUGAGGAUUGAUGAGGUGACUUAACCUGAUAGUUAAGUGUCCUAUCAUUCUCAUUUGAGAACCUGCCAGAUGAGGGUAUCUCUUCAGUGUCUUUACCCGUGGCACAGUACUGACACCCUUCCAACUGAGGUUACAAGUUUGACCCCGAAUUUAUUCAGAAAAGGGGCAUGCCGGUUCGAUAAUUACCUCCCACAGUCUCAAUCUCAGUCUUUAGUAAAGAACUCAGAUAGUUCUACAGAUUUUAGGACUGUCAGAUACAGUCACUCAGCUCAGUACGAAACUCAGCUAGUUCUAUUAGCAAUAAGACUGUCAGACACAGUCACUCAGUAAAUAGUAUAUCAGUUAUCAGUUAUUAGUAAUCCAUGUUAUCAGUAAACUCAGUAUUCAAAAUCCUUAUGACUUCAGUUGCAGUUAUGUAUUUAUAUAUGUAUUCUCACUCAGUCAUGUUCAUAUUUUUCAGUCAGUUAUAGUUCAUGCAUAUGAACCCUUGUAUUCAGCCUUACCUCACUUUGCGUACCAGUACAUUCACAUGUACUGAUGCGUACUUUUCUUUGCGCUAUGGUAUUUUAUAGCAUAGGUUCAGACGUACGAGCCCCAGAGCAUUCUUAGCGGUUCAAACAUUGGUUCAGACAUUCAGCCAGCAGCAGUAGACUAGCAGUGAGUCCUCAUCAUUCGAGGAUAUUCUUUUAUUUUAUUAUCUCAUGAGAUUAAGCAUUUCGGUAGAUGGAGUUAGUUGGGGGAUUGUCCCAUCAACUCUUUAUUUAGACAGUUCAGUUUAGAGGCUUUUCAGACUAGAUGUUCAGAUUAUAUUCAGUAUUUCAGAUUCUGAUGUUUUAUCAGACUUUGUCAUUUUUUUCAUCAGUAUUACAAUUUUGAACCUUAUGGAAUUUUAAUCUUGGGCAUAUUUAUAUGCUCAAAGCACCAAUAUGCACCUAGAUUUAGACUUAAUUUGAGAACUUUUGUAUGAAUUCUUAAAGUAUAAUUCAGCUUUUAUUCCAUUUCAUUCCUAAUAGGUAUGCUUAGUACUUUCAGGCUAAAAAUCAUGAAGAAUUGUACGCAUUUGGAUACAAUGAUGAUAUGGAAGGAUUGAAGGAAUACAAGGGAGUGAAAUAAAGCUCAAAAAGGAAAGUUGGAAAGUAGGAAUCCUCAUUUGAACAGACUUCGCAUCGCGCUAACCAACAAAAUAAAAAUGGUCGAAUUCCAGCAGAGGUUCACAAAAUCAACGCGUCGUGGAAAGGCAUAAAUUCUCUCUUGGAACUUUCCAGUACAGGUCCGCAAAACCACUGCGUCGCGGAGCAGUCCCACUUAUCAAAUUGUGCGACCUGGAAGUUUAGCGCGUCGCGGAGGAUAAAUAUUUCACAAUUUUCCAAAUCUAGUGGCUCACCGCGAUAGUGACGCGUAGCAGUGAGGGUGCAUUUUACAAAUUUUAAGGAAUAAUUGAGCUCUGCGAUUGUCCUGAUUUUAAUGGAAAAUAGCAAUUGAAGGUAUGGCGUGAUGCGCCAUGUGGCAAAAUCGGGAAGAUUUUAAGUGUUUUGUCCCAGCUAUAAAAAGAAAAUCUAAGAUAAUUUUGGGGACUUUUUGGCAAGCACAACAGCGACAGAAAAGUGGAAGUUUCUCUCUUUUAGGGUUCAAAAAAAUAAAUAAAAUUCUUUUAAACUUCUUUACUUCAAGAUUUAUUUUGGGUAUGAUUAAUUACUUAUUUUUGGAUGAUGAAUUCAAACAUGAGUACCUAAAUACCCUAUUUCUGGGGUUGAGGCUAAGAACAUGAUUACACUUUUAUAUUCUUAUUCAUAGUUCUUUUUGGAUUAUCAUCUGGGUUGUUCUUAAUUUCUUGAGCUUACUAUUUUAAUGAUUGGCCAUCAUUAUAAUAAAUUUAUAUUUCUAUGUGCAUCCGGGAGGAGAAUCGUAGGAUAGAACGAAGAAAUUAAGGAGCAAGGUUCUUAUUCUUAUUUCAUAAAAGAAUAAGAACCUUGUUCCCUAAUUUCUUUGUUCUAUCCUACAAUUCUCCUCUCGGAUGCACAUAGAAAUAUAGAUUUAUUCUAAUGGUGGCCAAUCAUUAAAAUAGUAAGCUCAAGAAAUUAAGAACAACCCAAAUGAUAAUCCAAAAAGAAACUAUGAAUAAAAAUAUAAAAGAGUACUCAUGUUCUUAGCCUCAACCCCAGAAAUAGGGUGUUUAGCAGCUACUCAUGUUUGAAUUCAUCAUCCAAAAAUAAGUAAUUAAUCAUACCCAAAACAAGUCUUGAAGUAAAGAAGUUUAAAAGAAUGCUUUUUUUUAACCCUAAAAGAGAGAAAAUUUCUCUUUUCGCCACUGCUAUGCUUGCCAAAAAGUCCCCAAAAUUAUCUUGGAUUUUUCCUUUUAUAGCUGGGACAAAACACUAAAAAUCUUCCUGAUUUUGCCAUACGGUGCGUCACGCUAUGCCUUCAAUUGCUAUUUUCCAUUAAAAUCUGGGCAAUCACGGAGCUCAAGUAUUUCUUGAAAUUUGUAAAAUGCACCCUCACAGUGACGUAUCACUAUCGCGUUGAGCCACUGGAUUUGAAAAAUUGUGAAAUAUUUAUCCUUUGGGACGCGCUAAACUUCCAGAUCGCACAAUUUUAUAAGUGGGACUGCUCCGCGACGCGGUGGUUUUGCGGACCUUUACUGGAAAGUGCCAAGUGAGAACGUACGCCUCUCUGCAACGCGUUGAUUUUCCAAACCUCCACUGGAAUUCGACCAUUGCUAAUUGGUUUGUUAGCGCGACGCGGAGUCUGUUCAAAUGAGGAUUCCUACAUCCAACUUCCCUUUUUGAGCUUUAUUUCACUCCCUUGUAUUCCUUCAAUCCUUCCAUAUCAUCAUUGUAUCCAAAUGCAUACAAUUCUUUAUGAUUUUUAGCUUGAAAGUACUAAUCCAUUAGGCAUGAAACGGAAUAAAAGUUGAAUUAUACUUUAAGAAUUCAUACAAAAGUUCUCAAAUUAAGUCUAAAUCUGGGUGCAUAUUGGUGAUUUGAGCAUAUAAAUAUGCCCAAGAUCACCAUCAUACACUUAGAACCUUGUUCGUCCUUGAACACUUUAAUUCAAAAGCAUAAUUACUUCCUCUUUACAUCACAAUCUCAAAGUUACGUUGCAAUGGGCACUUGCACUUUGCAAUAGUGUAUUCUUACAUCAGCAUGUCAAAACAAUUUUAGCAUAUAAGGCAAUUUAGUACAAGUUUUUCUAUCUCAAUAAUGAAUUUCUAACUUGUCAGCAAACUCAAUCAAAGAAACACAAUAAGUAAUCCGGCUUUCAUCCGCCUGUAUCCUCGCUCAAGAAAAAUUCCCCAUAUUAACUCCACUGAUAUCUACGCAAAAAUAGGGGAGUAUCAACAUCAAAUCACUCGCUCUCAACAAAGAAUUCAUACAUGCUAGUGAACGAACUAUAAGCUUGCCCCUAGUGUACUACUCCACCAAUAGUCGGAUGUUUAGGUGAAGGAUCAACUAGGUAUUUUUCGGGUUGUAAUAAAGGCUUGGAGACAGGUACUUACUAUUUGGGGAAAUAGUGACUAUUACUCCUAAGCGUUUUAUUACAAGAAAUAUCAAUUAACUCUGUUCUCCAACACCAAUUUAUCCUUCUAUUUUCUCCCCAUUGUUUCAUUUUUCAACUCCUCUUUCAAUUAGCUUAUUUACUCAAACUAGGUUGUGAGUAUUAGUUAUUCCUUCCACAUACUUCUCUUUUUCAUACCAAUUUUAUGCUACGCACCCCUAUUAUAGCCACCCUUAAAUUAAGAAAAAAGCCUUCGUUAAAGUGCACAUUAUCCAACUGGACCAAGGCCAAAAUAGGUUCAUUGUAACAUUUCUAUUUACUAACUCCCAAUUGCACCCAGAAUCUUUAAACAUCAAUAACAACUACUUGGGGGCAUUAAAUUUUUACCUUUUUCUCCUCAUCUUUUACGCUCUUAAUCUCCUCUUAGUUUUAUAUUAAAAUGCUCAGGAGCUUAUUUGGAUCAAAUUAAGAUUUAUCAAAGAAAGGACAGGUUUACAUAAUAGGCUACCAAAGAAAGAGGCUAAAGGCUCAACGGGGCUAAGACUAUGCACCAAGAUAGGUCUAUUUAGGCUAGAAAGACGGCUGUCAAAGAAAUACCUACAUCACUUCCAACACCCAACACCUUUUAUUUUGCUUUAUAAACACACCGGGCAAGUUCUAGUCAUUUCUAUUCAUGUAGAAUAUACACAAAUCCUCACACUCACAGUGCAUGCACGGAAUCUAACCGGGUCCUUAAGGUCCCUGAUCUUGAAUUCAGAAUUAAGCCAACACAUCAAAUUUCAUCUAUCAAGAUAAAAUUAUCUGUACUUAAAUCAGUACUCUUAUGCUCAUUUAUACUCAAUUUAAUUUACAUUACCGCAAAGAUGGCCCAUUCCACACACUCCUCUAAGAUAGUGAUUAGGUUCUAGUUUAUUCUUUACUUCCUACGACCACUCCCCUUAAGACGGUUAUCAUUCAUCUAUCAUAGGGGAUGGAAACU
rnacentral:lncRNA from 1 species